rnacentral:lncRNA from 1 species
CCCGGUGCCGCGUGAGUAGCCGGAGGCGAGCGAGUUGGCGCCGCCGCCGUACCUGUCGAAGUAGGCGCUCUGGAACGCCUUGACGAGGCCGACGCCGCAGAUGGCGCCCAGGCACUGCGCCACGAUGUAGAGCAGCGCGCGCACCAGGGAGACCUUGCGCGCCAGGAACAGGCCGAAGGUGACGGCCGGGUUGAUGUGGCCGCCGGAGAUCCCCGCCGUGCAGUAGACGAGGACGAAGAUCAUGCCGCCGAACGCCCACGCGAUGCCCAGCACGCCCACGCCGCCGCACGCGGCGUCGGCGCCCGACGCCGUCGCGUCCGUCUGGUGCUUGUACCCGAUCACGGUGGCGACGGUGAUGUACAGGAACAGCAGCGUCGCGAUGAACUCGGCGAUCACGGCGCGGUACAGCGACCAGGAACCCAGCUCCGCCGCGUCGAUCAGUGGAGCUGGCGGUGGGUCCGUGUAGUCCUUGGCAGCGAACUCGCCGCCGCCGGCGCCGCUCUCGAUCACGUCGUCCUUGCCCAUGGCUUCGCUUAGCAGCUGCGAGAGAGUGAGUGGGAGAGGUGGCUACGCUUGCAAGGAAUGGGAAUGGAUGAGAGCGUGAGGUGGGGGGAGUGAGAGGGAGGGAGAGGGUGGUGGUGCUAUUUAUGGAGAGAGUGGAGAGUAGGUAAGUGACAACACAGCACAAUAGUGCUGCAAGGCUGGGGGGCGGGGCCAUGCCCCCCGCUUGAUUAUUGCUUGAUGGAAUGGAACACAAAAUUCAGCAGCUUGUGUAGUACCAAUUUCUGGUUUUUUUUUAUAUUGCUUUAACUUUGUGUUGAUAAGAUUGAAUGGCCUUUUCUUUUGUCUCUCUGUUCUGUUUUUUUCUUUCUUAUGUGUAGGAGUAGUAUAUUUCCUGACGCGCUCUCUGUCUCUCGCUCUGCCUUUUUAUGUGGUUUUGUUUGCGUGCUCCAAUCCAAUGAUGCUGGCUGGAUAAGCUAUGGAGGUUUGUGCUGUAAAGCCAAGGAUCCCCACAUGCUGGUGGGGGUUUUGUUUUCAGGGAGGGAGAAAAAAUGGGCACAGAAGUUUCCAGGGAUGGAUGGAAUCCCGGGAAACGAAAAUGUGACAAGAUAAUAAACUUUAAGAAAUGUGGCAAGAUAUGUGGAUUAUUUUGGUUUCCCUUCGCUGUCAGAAAAUCAAACGGCUACAUGUAUUGACCCCCCCUCUCUAGUCUCUAUCGAUGAAGCAAACGAGAACCACCGAGAAAAAGAAUGCAAGCUUCUACCAGAAACAGGAGGCAGCGUGUGUAAGGCGUUGGGCGGCAAUUUGCUUACAUCUAGGCCUUGUUUACUUCUAAUUUUUUUUUACAAAAUAUAAAUAGUGACGCUUUCGUUUGUAUUUGAUAAAUAUUAUCCAAUUAUAGACUAACCAGGGUUAAAAUAUUCGUCUCGUCAAUUUCGACCAAACUGUGCAAUUAGUUUUUAUUUUUGUCUAUAUUUAAUACUCCAUGCAUGCGUCUAAAGAUUCGAUGUGACAGGGAAUCUGAAAAUUUUACAAAAUUUUUUGGAACUAAACAAGGCCCUAUAUUCUCCUGUUUAAACAUGGGAUGGGACGUCUUAACUUUAAAUUACAGGCGGUUGAGCUUUCUAUGAGUUCAUUCGGUAUGAAAAAAUGUAACAACCUUAGGUAUGGCGUGGUAAAGAGUACGUAGUAGCCGGGAGAAGUAACCAAUAACUCCUAAUUCAAUCUAGGGUAACUAAUGAACAUUUUUACGGCUCUCACAUUGCUAAUUACUAUAGCAACACUGUAGCGUAUAUAGAGCUGUUGGAGCUGGAAAAUCAUGGUUUCGCCAACUGCUCUUCUUCUCAGUUUAUUUUUCACCUCGGAAAUUUAGAAAAGAAAAAAAACAAAGCAAAAAAGAAAAACUAUACCAAACAAGGCCUAACUGUCCUUACAACGUGCAAUAGCAGAAAGCAAAGAGAUUUUGCACCCGAUACAAGGGGAGCCCAUAACACUGUUGUCAACUAUACGCAGACGUACGUGCUGUUGUCAGCCUUUGGUUUUGCUCAUUUAAACAUUGCUUCGUUGAUCUUCCUCCCCACAUACUGUACUCCGUGGUUGUACGUCACUAGGAGGCGCCUUGCGUAUUCAAAAUUCCGGUACACCAUCGGCUUUCAUCGGCAACAACGGCAUGGAGCGAAGGAGCGUGCAAGUGCAACUGACCGACGACGAAACGGGCAUCUACAUUUUAUUUUGAUUUUUCAACAGCUCGACAUUACUACUAUAUAUACUACGUAUUGAUUGGUUGAUUGAUUAUUGAUAGACAGAGAGUGUAGUGUAUAUAUAUAGUGAUAGUGAUAAUAUAAAUAAAAGAAGCUGUUAUCAUGCAACGACCAUAACCGGCGCCGGAUACUGGAAAAUCUCCUGACCAUGUGGCAGACCACCGGCACCAGAGCCGCGAAGAACAACCCGCACUAGCCGUCCUCCAUGCAUGGUAGUAGCAACAACAGCCAUAUAUGACUCGUCAUCGCAUCGGAAUAUCGGAUCGCACAUCGCAAUCAGUGAGCCGCCCCACACACACACACACGGUACCCCCCGCCCGCCGCGCGCUGUACAACAUGCCAUGCGUUCGCGUUGCCGUCGCACGAACCGAGCGCGCGGCCACCGGCCGGCCUAGGUGCCGUGCGUUGGACUUGCGCGGAUCGGAGGCGGAGGGUGUGUCGUGCCGCACGAGGAAAUGAGAAUGAAAUUAUUCGGGGGCGAUUAGUUGGGCGGCCAGGAGAGUUCACGACGCCUGCAUCCCGGCACCGCCCUCGCUGUACAGCGUGGAUCCAGCGACGACUGCCUGCAACUGCAGGCCAGCAGAGAAAGCUGCUGCCUCUGCCUGCCGAUGGACAAUAUUGCGGCGUAAUCUCUCAAUCUAUCAUGCGCUGGCGGCGCCGGCGCGAGAGGUCUAGCGGCGCGGCCGACCGGCCAGCCUGGUUGAGGUGGGCGAAGGCCAUGCGUGUCCACGAUUGCAUGCAUGUGCAUGUGUGGCUCUGGGUGGAGGACAUAUCAGCAGCUGCAGGCCACGAUAGAGCGCGCCGUCGUUGGCGGGAGGAGCUGGCUCGGUGGGCAGGCCAGGGUGCCCACUGCCCAGGGUGGGGGUGGGGCGCGCGCCCGGAGGUCGCGGCAACUUGCCAGGGUAGCGGAGCGGGAGCGGAGCAUUUCACAAGGAGCUCGUGGCCGGUUGAGAUGGAGAUGAGAUCAUGGCAACGGCGGCUGCGAUGCGGCUUGCGUACUCCAUCGGCGCGGCGCGGUCCCGCCCGGCCCGUGCCAUCAUCUCGUCUCGUCUCCGUGCCCCAGCCGGCCCAGUGAUGAGUGCCAGGGGACCGGACCUGGUGGUACGCUCGGCUGCCUAGCUGCUGCACGGUAAAAGGUCUGGCGCUCUCAGGAAGCAAGGAGGCGAAUCUACCACGCUGACAUGACACGUACUACCGCUCGACACAUUGGAGCAGGGACGACGGCGCAAGGGACAAACGGCGGGGUAGUACUACGUCUCGCCUGGAACAAGGCAGGCACGAGAAGCAGCAGCAGCGUCCCCGCCUCGCCGGUUCCAAUCCAUUUCUAGCGCUAAUCGGAUGAGAGUAAUCGCGACGACGACGUGUAAAUGUGUACUCUAGGAGUUCGUAAAUCUGCAGACACACAUGCGGGGUAGUAGUACGGCAUCACGGCGAUCGCCCAUGCAUGGAUGUACAGUAGUGCACGGUCCUGGUCCUGGUCCUGGUCCUGGCCAGGCUAGCGAGAAGAUGCAUGUCGCGGGCGCGCGCGAACCCAAAAUAUUAUCGUCCGGACGGCGGAGAGUCCCUGUGGCCAGCUCGUCGCUACCCGUCGCAUCCGCACGCGCCCGAUCCAGCGUGGCGGGUCACACGCACACGCUCCGGGGCCGGACCGCUCCAACGUUCGCCUACACGUCCAGCUACUCCCAUCGCUACGGGCUCCGGGUCUGGCCCCUUCUGGGAUUCCCAUCGGUCGGGCCCCGCGCCCGCCCCGUUGUUCCAGACCCUUCUGUUCUGCCACAGCCCUCCAGCAGGUUCCGAAUUCCCCAUCCCUAUCCGGCGGUGGUAGUCGCCCGCCCGUGCUCGCUGUUCCAACGGCGACGUACUACUACUGUACGCCGACACCCGCUUUGGGUUGGGGGUCUCGGCAUCGGGCAGGGCCGCCACGCCGCGCGCAGCCACACAUCGCACCCGAUCGGUGGGCCGGCAACGGCAAUACGUGUCGCGCCUCGGCUCGUGCGCCGCAAUUCUUUACCCAUGCCUUGGCUCUCGCUAUCCCGUUCCCGUUUCCUCGAGAUGCUCGCACAUUCAUCUCGUGUGUGCGUGCAUGCGUGGCACUGUAGUGCUCCGCUCGGCUGCUCCGGUGCCGUACUGUUUCGACACUGUCACGAUUCACGACGAGCGUGGCCGUGUGAAAAAGCGAACGACUCCCUCUGCUGCGUCCGUCAACCACUCUGGCCGGCCUCUCGGAUUCGUUCCUCUCGUUUUCUUUUCUUUUUUCUGGGCGGUUCUGGCCAGUGGCCACGGAGGUGCCCACCUGUCCUGGGAGCCCGACAUGGCCGAUCCCCCGUAUCUCCGGCGGGGCGUGAGAUUGAAAGCCAAUCAAUCACACGGAUUAAUGCAACCCGGCCAUUCAUUCAUUAUUCGUCAUACUAUCCUACAAGUAUUUUAAUGAAGAGAAGUCUAGAACAGGAAAGCGCAGCGGGCGCUCCGAGAAAACGGGGUAUCCCUCUACGGCAUUUGCAUGUGCACUCGAUGCUGCUGCAGCCACAUUUUUCUCAUCGGAAACCUUUGUUUAUUACUACUUUCCUCUUUAUUAUCGAUGGCAACAACCACGGUGACCCGGCCGAAUCUCUUGUUCCCAACAGGGUGGCAGCAGCAGCAGCAGAGGGAGGAUUGAGGCCUUGUUUAGUUCGCAAAAAUUUUUCAAGAUUCCCCGUCACAUCGAAUCUUGCGGCACAUGCAUGGAGCAUUAAAUAUAUAUAAAAACAAAAACUAUUUGCACAGUUCAUCUGUAAACCACGGGAUGAAUCUUUUGAGCCUAGUUACUCUAUAAUUGGACAAUGUUUGUCAAAUAAAAACGAAAGUGCUACAAUGUCGUUUUUCACCGGUUUUUGCCAACUGAACAUGGCCUGAGGAUGGUGGAUGGAUUGGAUCAGCCCGGUCACGUUGCAUCACGCACCGCGCACCGGCGGCAGUCCGGCACCGCUGCAGAAGCAUUUGUGAUGGAGAUUCUGGCACGGCUUCUUUGGUUUGGUGCUUGCCGCACUGUUAAGCGGCGAGCCAGGCAGUGCCACGUCACCAAUUCGCUCCUACUACAGUUUCGGACGGCCCUGGUAAAGCGCCACGUCCCGUGCUCUCCUGUGCGUGUGAGUGUGACACUGUGUGGGUACGGGCGGGCACAUAUGUUAAUUCUGCCAUCUACUGUUCCUGAUGACUCAUCAGUGAUGCUGAUGCCAUUCUUGCGGCGGUGUGUGCGGACUCAUCACUUUGAAACACGAGUAGUACACUAUACGGGUAGGAUUCUCCUGGUUUUGAGAAACUUAUAUUCUUAUCUAAAACAGAAUAGAUUUUAUAAGAAAUUUAUCUCAUAGAUUUUUAAAUCACGAAAUCUAAUAGAACUGUUGGGAUUAUUCGUUUCAUUUGGAUUUUCAAAAUCCCAUAGGAUCCAAACGGCACCAUGGAGUACGCUCUCUUUCUUCCGGAAGCUUGUAAUAGUGAGAUAAUUUUUUUAAGCCCAAUUAGUUCAUAAUUGGAUAAUAUUUAUCAAAUAAAAACGAAAAAACUACAGUAUUUGAAAUCUCAAAAUUUUGCCAACUAAACAAUGCCUCAUUCUUCCGUUCGUUACUCCCGUAUCUACUUGCCGUUGGAUCUCGCCUUUCUCACGUCCAGCCAUUUUGGGUGGAACCAUGGUAGAAAAUUUGUGGGGGUCAUGAUGCGGCCUCCAGGGCUUCUUCAGUCAAGUGCACAGGCACCAUCCAUCGCUCCCUUCUAAAUUAAUAUGCGCGGUUCUACUAAAUGAAUUAAAUAUGCAUUUUAUUCUUUUAUUUUUUUCAUUUAGUUUAUUUAAUUACAUUAGAGAAGAAGCGCGGAUAAUCACUUGGAGCACCGUCUCCAUCUGUACUCCCUUCUCUUCGGAUCGGACAAGCUCAUGACCUUGCACACAUUUUCACACGUGUUUCAUUCAAACAAGUAGGAGUUAUCUGUAGUUCCUCUGUUUUCAAAAGUUUCAAUUUCUAGAGUUAAAACUAAAUUUUUUAGACUUUAAUUGAAUUUCUAAAAACGCUAAAUUUUAUGGCACCAAAUUAUUAUCAUUAAAUUUAUUAUAGAAUAUAUUUUUUAUAAGAUAUUCAUUUUAUGUCAUAAAUAUUAAUGCUCUCUAUAAAGUUAAUUAAACUUAAAAAAGUUUGAUUAACACGGAUUUUAGAAAUUGAAUCUUUCAUGAACUGAGAGAGUACGUACCAAGAAUGCUUAAGUACGACAUUAUUUGUGUUGACCAUUAGAUCUACAUACUCUCUCUCUCUGUUCGUAAGUAUGGUUAAGAUUUUCGUACUAGUGAAACAAUUUAAAUUAUGUAAAUUUAUAGAAAAUAUUAGCAAUACGUGCAUCUUAGUGUAUUCAAUGAUUAAUACAACAAUACUUAUACACAUCAUAAAUACUUAUAAUUUUUUAUAUAUAUUUCAUGAAAAUGGAGUACAUUUGAUUCCUCGAUAGAAUAUCAGAUAACAAGCACUAUGGUACAGGGAAACGUCGGCCAUUUUUGGGAACCCAUUUUUAGGGAAAAAUAAAACUCAACCAGCUGUUAUGACCUCCCUGGAGGAUUAGCCUAUAGGUGGAAGAGUUCAAAUGUACUGGUCAAGAAAAUUCUCGAAUGCUGAUUUUGCCAUUAAGAUAAUUUUUUUAAGCAAGCAGCCUACUCCCUGAGCAAAUGUAUGUACGUACCUCGCUUCGCAAUGCAAGAAGAAAAAUUUUAAAGUUUUACUGAAUAUAUAAAAAAUAAACAAAUCUUUAUGGUGUAUAAUAAUGGCCAUUAGAUGAAACAUGGAAUAUAUUUUCAUGACAAAAAUUUUUGGAAAUGCAAAUAUUGAUAUUAUUUUCUAUAUUUUUAGUCAAACUUAAAGUUUUUUUGACAAGUAAACCAUAAAUAUAUUAACAACACGAAGCUGUUAGAACCAUUACAACGUUAAUUUUUUUCUUCUCUGGUACAUUUGGAAGGCUCGUAAUGAUAAUAGGUUCCAGAGGAGAACAUGGACAUCUCUCUAGAUCAACAAGCAGCAAGUGCCCACAUGAACACACCUUGAUGCAUAAAAAAACAGGACCUUUAUCAGCCAGGUACUGCUCUUCUUCCUGCAGGUGGCGAUCAAACAACUCUAUAGCCGACUAGCCCACGAAGAGCACCAACAACCAAUGUUGUUCCUAAUGCCACAAACUACACCCAAGGUAUAUAUAAUGCAUAUGCAGGAACAAGUUAAGGUGGCCAUCAAGCUAAUUCGGUGAUUGACAGCCUGCUGGUUCUCUUUCCAACUUCAAUUAGAGGAUCUUGUUGCUACACCAACGCCUCAACGAUGUCAAACCUUGCUGCAUCUGCUCCAAGACAUGCGGGUCUCGGCAUUUUCAUCAUCAACACCGAUGUGCAACCAGCAACCACCACUGAGCAUCUUCAUCAAAGCUACUAUGCAGGAAUCUACAUCGGUGCUCAUGGCGGAAUUUGCAGCUAUGGCUUGGGCAGCAGCUCUACUCAAUCAACUUCAAUCCCAUCAGGCGAUGCUAUUGUCGGAUAACCAAAAGGUGGUCCACUUUCUUAAUAGCCCCAAUCUCUCUAAUCCUCCGGACUGAAGAAUUAAACCAGUUUUAACUCCUUCAAAAGCAAUGUACUCCUUACAGAAGGAGUAAAUCUGUUCUCACUGGAAGGAAGUCAAACCUGUAACUUAGGUGUUGUUGGUCUAAUAAACUAGAAUUACACCUAAUAGUAUCCGUGUCAUAGUAAUAAUUUCUCUUUCUACUUUACUUGUACUUAGGAAUACAUAUAAAGAGGAUGAAUCAGACCAUAAGGAUUAGACUAGCACAAUGAAAAACAAACAAGCAAAUCAGACCACUAGAGUGGAAAACAGACCAACAAAUCAGACCACUACAAUGAAAAACGGACUAGCAAAAAGAAACAAUCAUAACUCUUAAUUCCUUAAGGCUUUGAAGGUCCUUGAGGACGUUUUUGAAAAACUCAAGUCUAUUUUCUAAUGCAACAAACCUCAACUCAUUUGGACGUCACAAUAAAGAGUUAUGCUUAUAUUAGUCAAAACUACUUAGAAAGUCAAUUGUCUUUCAGGACAAAAUAUUGGUAUAACUUUCCAUGUGAAACUGUAUCAUUCUACAAUGUUUCGUGAAGCAUGCUGCACAUUGCUAGAAAGCUUAUUGAGUUUACUUGCACAUCCAACAAAUGUCUUGUCAUUUCGACUUUGUAUUUAGGAGUUACAACUCUAUUAGUGGGAAACUAACAGCCACGCGAAGGCUAUGGAAUUUUAUUUCGUGGAAAUCUUUUCCCAUACUCUAUCUUUUUAUUUUUAUUUAGAAAAAGUUUAUAUAACCCUCUCAAUUAUAUAUGGUGGACUACUUUACCCUCCAAACUAUAAAACAAAUUUUUUUUUAUCCCUUGAACUUUCUAAAACCGGUCAAACCUCCUUGUGUGUGUCAAUGGGCUGCUUGCAGCAAAUUAUCUACUGUUUUUCAGUUAGUUAUCAAAAUUAAGAUCCUACAUUGUGAAGAUCAAGAUCAGGACCAAGACUUCAUCACCUCGGCAAGAAAAGCUAGCUGUCAUGAAGCACCAUACCAGAUUACAACUGGUACACACUACACACAAUCAUCUGCGCUAAUAGACACACUUGCGCGGAAGAAUCAAGACGGGACGGGUCAUGAGUCCUGAUUGCUAAUGCAGCAGCUAGCGCAGUCAUCAUCCACUCCAAAGCUGAUCUGUUCCUCUCCCUGCGCUGCUACGGUAAGAAUGGAGUUGCCUUUUCCCCUCGCGCGCCCUGCUUUCACGGCCACGGCAUCCACAGCGGACGCAGGCAAAAUGGAGCGCCCACCACCAGGCCGCUCUCCCCACUAUAGGCACUAGCGAUCCAACCGAAAACGAAAGGGCGGUAAAAGUUGCAAAACCAGCGGCGUGCGAGAUCGCUUGCAAGGCAAUGCAAAAAACCAGCGGGGGAUCAAUCGGACUGGAGCACUAGUGUGCACGCACCGAAAGCCCCCGCGCGCGGUGGCCGUGCAAGUGAAGUGAGCCGGUCAUGCUCAUGCAUCCAUGCAUGCAUGUGUGAUUCACCCUGUCUGCCGGCCGGUGCCGUCCUUUUGAACGGAUUGCGUCGCCGCGGCGCCGGUUACUAGUGGUAGUGGAUGCUGCUAGCUGCUGCGGCUGCUGGGUCCGGAUCGGACAAACAGUGGGAGGCUACUAGUGGCACGCAGGCUUGGCGUAGCUCCAACAGGGCAGAUCGUUCAGACAGGCAGACAGAUGGAACCUUGCGAAAGCAAAAGCUAUUGCAUGCAAGCAGUGAUCGAUCUCCCUUCCUAAUAAUCCAUCACGUGGAUUCUUGCGUGAUCCUGGGCUCGAUCCGGUUCAAAAACAUUGUAGUAUUUUAUUUUCUGCAGAAUUUCAGAAACGUAACCUUGAGAGAUGAGAGCAUCAGAUCGACUUGUUUGUAUUGUAUGAUGAUUGUGGGUACUUAAUUAUUAGUUCAUAUUCAGACGCAGUCCAACUCCAAUCUGUCCUGGAUUGGGUGCUUCUGGAGAUUGCUCGAAGCAGAUGGAAUUCGAGCUGAGGGUUUGUUAUCAUCAUCAGCAGAAUGUAAUUUGUUAACAAGUACACGCAUGCAUGCUUAGGGGGUCCUAAUCGAGGCAACAACAGCCCACAGGACGAGAUGACUGACUCGCUACGCUUCUGUGGCUAGGAGACGCGCGGCGGCCGGUGUAGCUUUAUUUCCCCCCGUCACGCACGACCACGAGACCGGCACAUGUCCACGUCGGCGGCGGUCGCUGUCCGUGGCCGGUUGCAUUGCCCGCCAAAAUGUACUAUACUCCGUAUUUUACGCUUCAUUCUCGAUCGCCUCCUGCGUGUGACCGUGUCCCAUCGGAUCAUCCUUUUUCUUUGCGUAGACAAGUACUGUACUUAUUAUGCCAAAUUGCCAAUGUGAUUCUCACGGCGGCUCCCGUUUCUCAAACUAUGGAAAGGGAUGUCUACUGCAUGCAGAGAGACAGGCUGAUGAUUGCAGAGUUUUUUCUUUUCUUGUUUUUGUUUUAUAGGUAGAUGUGUGAUUUGUCGUCGCCUGAUAUGAAAUCUCGAUCCAUUUGGAGGGACUGAAUAAUCCAAUGCAACUAGCUUGAUUGUUUUCUAUUAAAAAGAAAUUGAUGUACAGAAGAGAUUAUGUUUUCUGGCCAGUCACAAUUCAGACGCAGUGCAUAUGCAUGAGGUUUGGGAUACCCAUGGGGAAAAAACAUGUGCUUCUUCAUUCAAAAUAAUAUACUUAUAUGACACAUUUUCCUUCAAGUUUGGACACCGGACCUUGUCCCACACUUAACUUAAACCCUGCAGGUGCUAUACUGCAAUGGCUCGUUGUCGUUGGACUAGUUCUAAAAUGCACAGCAAGGGUAAUAAAGAUACUAGCGAAAUUGUCAACGACACAACGUAGGAGUACGUGUUUCUAUAUCAGUUAGUACAAUAUUGUUCAGCAUAAAUUCCAAUUCCCAAAUGUAAAACCAAGUUAGCUAAAGUGAGCGAGAGAGCCUCCGAGGCCAACGUUAUAUAAGCUGUCACUGUCAGCGACUGUUUCUUUUUGAGAAUUUCAAAGUACUACGGACUACUAGCGCUAUCCGAAGCUCAUCAUGCAUUUACAUAUAUAUAAUUAGUGUACACGGAUUGCUAUUAUUACAAUCCUGCAUGGCAUGCCGAUACUGUGCUCUCUUUUUUUUGAUGAACAUACCUGUAUUAUUUGUUAAGAAAAAGCGUACAAGUCAGAUACGAAUACAGAUACGCUCGAGGAUGCAGGGACAGCUGUCUCAGCCAUCUUGCACAAAGGCCCCUCAAAAAUAAAGAAAUUACAAUCAGAUCCAAGAACCCCGUGCUUCCCAAAAUCGCCAGACGUCUCCACCAACCGCCGCCGUCGCCGGCUGCCGUUGUCGAGAAAGACACCAUGGCCACCCCAGAACCGAAGGAGCCCAUCGCAUCAAAGCUUUGAAGGAAGCCGCAGUAGACACCCAGCACCGAGGCUGGGAUGACACCGUGGGAGAAACAUCGGCCGGGGAUCCACCCCAGGCUCCGCCGAUUCCAAAUCGAAGCUUGGUGACGACACACGUCGCAGGAAGACCGAGCUCGAUCCACCCUCCAGCAAGCCACAUCGCCCACACCAGUCGCUGUCUCCUUGACCAAAAGCGCCGCCGCUACCUUCGCCCAAACGAGUCGAUGGAGCAACCGGCCGCGUCGACACCUACGUCGGGGAUUCGCCAGAUCCCCACAUCCCCAAUCCCACCCUUGACUAUAGAGACCGCCAAGGGAGCGUGGACAGGACCGGGAAAACUUAUUCCCCUGCGCCACCGCCGCCAACGCCUCGCCAGCGACGCCAGGAAGACAAAGCCGCAAGAGGAUGACACCUCCCCAGCAAACCUUAGACUUAGAUAACACACUACCUAGUCUAUGCACAGCCGCACGGUGAUUCACCGGUCCAUCACGCUCUCCGACACCUAAACGGCCGCCGGAGAGGGAGAUGACCGGCGAAAUCGCCGCCGGAAACUCACUCCGCCUCCUUUUCGCCUCGAUGUACUGUAGCAGUGUGGAAGAGACGAGAAGGGGGUGAAACGGCUGAAGUGCGGCACCGAUACUGUGCUCUACCGUGGUGAAAAAGGCAGAUCUUAUGUAGGAGUACGCCAGAGUCAGCAACUGCUGCUGCUGCUGCUGUAUCUUAUAUCCUUCGGCAGUCAUUUUUUGGUGGCCACUCAGACUGGAUUAUAUUCCGGUUUCCACUGCAAGCAAGUGGCCAUGUCCAUCUAUGUACUCCGACCGUGUGUGAUUGUGCACUUGUGCUGUGAUCGUACACUAAAAAGAAAAGUACUAACAUUUCACCAGAGUCAGGCAGGUGUUUGCAAUGCUGUGUUUCCGUUUGGAAUGUGCAGUGCAGUGCGAUCCCAGGACUAGAGAGCUCCCAAUGCAAAGGCGUCAGGAGUGAGGACAAGAUCGGUUUCAGAGUGGCCACCACGGUGGCACCGUGUUUUGAAUUUAUUCACGCCCUAGUACAGAUCGUUGACAGGAGCAGGGGCGUCGCUGUCCUCGUUUUCAAUUCAGAGAACAGACCAAUUUGCCGGAAAGGAGAACGACCGUGCUGAGCGUCAGGUUGCUGCAGAUGCAUAAUAUAGGAGCACUACUGUGUUUUGUAUAACAACCGGGUUUCUGUAAAUAAAAAAAAAACAUAAUAAGAAACAAAAAACCACAGGAACUGAACUUUCGUAAAUAAACCCUCGCCAAGCCUCUUGAAUCAUCAUGAUGAUGGAAUUUAUGAUUAGGAGGUACACAUAUAUGAUAAUGAUAUCCGUUUGUUCGCAAAGAGAAUAUGGGGUAUCCGUUGAUGCUUGGCCAAAAAAUGGUCGAGCUCAUCAACGGCCAUUAUUGCCCUGGCCCGCGCGCGCUUCCUCCAGCUACCACCGGCUAGGAAUCGAGCGGGUUGGAGUUGGACUUGGACAGACAUGCAUGCAUGCUUUCAGUUUCAGAUAACAUGGCCAUGACAUGGAGCUGAAUAAGCCUAUCCAACCCAAUCAGCUGAUAGACGCAUUAAACUAACUACUCCAUUUCUAGCACUCCUCCUGCUGGCUAGCAUCAUCCUCUCGCACUGCUGCUAUUACUAGUAGUGUAGUAGUAGUACCCAAGGACGUCCCAACCAUAAGAUACUCCUACUCCUACGUACGAUAAACGCUGCUGCAGCCUGCAAUGCAAUGCCAUGGUGUUAGACUGUUGGUAUAACUCCUAGUCCUGGCCUCUGUUUGAUUGGAACAACACCACAGCCAAUUUGAUGAUAUGAACAACAGCUAGUAGAGUAAAACUUGGCUGGUCGCAAACGGCCAAGACGACGAGCUCGAUUAGUCCACUGGUCGGCAGAUUUCGGCAACACUGAGAAUUGAAUUGGAGCGAGCUCCCGCGACACCGUCCAGCAACAGUUUACAGUGGUCCGGCGCCGCAAGGCCCCUGUUGGAGAGCGACGUCGCGGGAGGAACUUCCCUGUCUUGCGCGCCCAAUAAUGUGCGCGAAAACAAAAGGCGAAACACACGGCACCGCCUCCGCCCCUGUAGUAGUAUCGUCGAUCGGGAACGAACGUACUCUACCAGAGGACGCUGGAAUCUUCCAGCCUUUUCGAUUCAGCAGCACGUUGGACGAACAGUUUCAGAAAGACGUAUUACGUACACGGAGCUCCACUGUCUCGGUCAGUUUAUAUUAGUUCUCUUGGCUACAAGCAGGCCGGCCAUGAGAGGAAUGAUGAUCUCGACGUCCACGUCCUUCCUACUACAUACUAACGUAGGAACCAUUAAUUUUCCUCCUGCUGGAAUCUCUCUUUACAGCUCUGCACUCGCAGCAUCAUGACACAGGAGGGAGGGAGGUCAAGUUGCUGUUCCAGACAGAGCUUAAUCCCUCAUAUGUCACACACAUGAUCCCAAAAAAAAUCAGUUUGCGUGUGUUUAGGGCGAGGGGCGGACAAACAAGGACUGUACUUUAUUAGUAAUCACUAACAUUUUAUCAUACAAGUUUACUACAGGCGAAGGACGAAGACAACGGCGCCCUCUUCUUUUCUCCGCUCGUGGCUGAUGGCUUGGACAUGGAUUAUUUGGGGGCCGGUCAGGCGGACAAGGACCUGCGAGCUAACGGCAGCCGCGAACAGAUCCAGCACCGUGGUCGGGGACGGUGGUACGGUGGUGGAGGAAAUAGAUAGAGAAUGCAUGGCUUUGGUGGUGGCUGGACUCGCAGGGGCGGUUAUGCGUUGCUGCGCUUGGAUGGAUGCACGUAAUGGAAGCAUUAGGUGAACGCACCUAGCAGCCUGUUCAUUCCCAAUAAUCCCAACUAAUAAAGAUCAUCCCGGGAUUAAACUUAUCGCUCAUUCUGGUACUAUCCACGUCACAUGCCGCGACCUUUAUUCAUGCCUGCCUUUUUGUUUGUUUGUUUGCUCUCUUGGAUUAUUCUGCGGUUGGUAUUAUUAAUUAUUAUAACUAUAUACAUCAAGCCUAUGAUGAUUUGAUGUAUCAUCCUAUGUGCACCCUCCGUCACAAAGAGACCGUUGUUUUAAGAGUGACAAGCACUUGUCUAUAUUCAUUUCUAAAAGAAAGGAGUAUAUAUGUGUAGCUACCUAGAUAUUUCAGUGCCAUGUAUGACAAUGCAAUAAACUUCUCGGGACUUUUCAUAUCUGUUUCCAUUGGUGAAAUGCCAAGAGAUACCAAUAAUAUCAAGGGAUCGAUCACUUCUCAGGUCAAUAGCUAAAAGCAUCUCCGAAUAGGAAAAAUCAAAAUUAUCUACAUAUUAUUGCUGCAAGAGCUGUUUCAUCUCUGGAGAAUGAUGUGAUGUAUCACACAGACAAAUUACAUUUUAAAUACUGCUUAAUAGUUCAAAUUUUUAAAUCUCUAAGCUACGACUUCCUGAAUUUAUACUCAAAUCAUAACAUUUUGUUUCUAAUGCCUUUCGAACUCCAAAUUUGAUCCAGAAGGAAUGCUAGCAUUUGUGGCAGGCGUGUUAUUUGUUUUGCUUGGCUGCUCCGAAUGGAAUCAUGAGCUAAUCCACUUGCUGGUUCCAACUAAUAAAGAUCACCCUAGGAUUUGCCAUCACAUAAAAAAAAGAAUAGCAUUCAAGGUACUAACAAAUCUAAAUAAAUCUAGUACUAGCCACAGCGUGCCGUGACCUUUUUACCGAUCUGCUCUCCCUCUUUGUGCACACUGCACAGGCAUCAGAAGUCCUAUCAAAUCUGAUCAAAUAUUCCUUGCAAGACCAAAGUCUUGUAGCAAAUGCUUUUCAUGAUCUGAUUUGUGAAAUAAUUUGACUGGACCUCUAGUAGUUCUUUUUACCGCUUUAUUUCAUGCGUGUAUCAAUCUUUUCCUAAAGGAAAUGCGUGUUUUAACUAGAAAAGAGUGGGAAAUAGGGGACCUCCUAUGAAUCUUGUGCAAGAUAGUUGCUCACACAUCAUGUAACCCAAUCACCUACUUGGCUUUGAGGAGCAGGGUCGGUCACAACGCAUAUAGGAGCAAACUUAAUUUUUUUAUUCUUUUUUACUUGUUUCUUUGUCUUUAUUUUUCAUUGUAAUGUUGAUUGUAGCCGCUAGACUCUAGGUCUAGCUCGUCGACACUCGUGGUUGGUUCUCCUCGUUAGUGUCUUGCCAGCAGGCAUGGAACAGCUGGAUUAUGUCGAUCGGUCAUGAAAAAGUUCUAGUGUCGAUAACUAAUCAUGUUUACUGAAUUGAAAAUUUACAUGUAUUUCAAUGAUUUUUUGGAUUGUUAAUCUACGUAGCCUAAUUUCACAUUUUAGAUAAACUAAUUCAACAUCUUAUCUACAAAUGUUGAAACAGUAUAUCCAAAAUGUUAAAAUAAUAUAUCCAAAUUGUUCAAACAGAGAAUUUCAAAUGUUGAUUUUAUAAAAGCGAAACAAUAGGAGGAAAAAAACUCAUAUGGGAUCUUAUUUUGUUGCAUUUGUUAUAAAAAACACCACAAUUCAUACAAUUUUGAGAUUGUAUUCAAGGAUUGAGAGAAAAAUACAUUUCAAGUUUGAGUUUGAAACUAAAUACUUCCUCCGUUCCAAAUUAUAAGUCGCUUUGACUUUUUUGGUACAUAAAUUUUGCUAUGUACCUAGAUAUACAUACCAAAUUUGAUGUACUAAAAAAGUGAAAGUGUUUAUAGUUUGGAACGGAGGAAGUAAUUACCUAUAGGCUCACCCAUUACUCUCUAUAAAAUUGUGCAAAAUAUGAUACAACAUACACAUAUGGCUAACGGAUUAUCUCUCCAUCUCUUCUAUUACCAAAAAGAGUCUAAUUUCUUUUUUCUUUUUCUUUUUUUCUUUUCUUUUUCUUUUAUAUUUUCCUUUUGCAAUUUUAACUCUGCUUCUAUUACCAAUCUUAUUUUUUUGUGAGACCCAGUGUAAGUGCAUUCGCCCUCGAUGUGGGUUUUGAUAAUUAAUGACAACCAAAUUAGGGACUAACGUGUUUAUCGAGCAUAAUCUACAGGUGUUAGUCCAUUGAUGGAAUUGAACGAAAACAUUCGGUGAAUUAUAGCACCCCUAAAUUUCCAAUGGAUGAACGGUGUUUCGACUCAAGUGGCUACAAAGUUUUUAUUCUUUGUUUGAGUUAUAGGAAACGCCGCACUAUCAAGAGGGAUGCAAAUCAAGUUGGUAAGAUGAGGAUAAGGGUGCUCAGGUCAAUUUACUUCUUGCGCUUGAGAGACACACUUGCACGCACGAAGCACUAGGAAAUUUCUUCUCUGCCAGGGUGACCCGGUAGUACCAACCCUCAGGGCCGGUGGUACCGGCAGUGCCAGCCUUUCUCCUGAGUUUUGCGAGAAAAUGAACUACCGGUAGUACCGGGCUCGGGCCGGUGGUACCGGCCAGCACCAGUAGUACCGGUGUGAAACGUCGGUAGUACCGGCAGGCCAAAUCUGCGCUGACUUUGGUUGUGGAGAAUCGAACUGCCGGUGGUACCGGCCUUCCACCGAUGGUACCGGCAAUGGUCGGUAGUACCGACAAAAGCCAGGUGGUACCAGUAGGCUUAUUUCUCGCAAAUCAUAGAGACUUCUUACCGUUAGAUCUGAGGUAGCCGGUGGUACCGGUGGUUGCCCCGGUAGUACCGGCAGUUGUUCAGGACCUAUGUAUAAAUAGCUCUUCCCUCAUUUCUGACCGUUAGCUCUCCCAUUCCUUCAACUCUACAUCUGAGAAAUCAGUCUCCAAGCUUUGUCUCACCCACUCUCUCUCCCUCUUUGCUCCUAGACUUCACUCCUUGAGAGAUUCGAGCUAGAGAAGUGAGAUUAGAGAGUUGGGAGCUUCGAUUUGUGACUUGAGCACUUGGAUUCUUCGUCUUGCCGGUUUUGUUUGCAUUUGUUACUCUUGGGUUCUUGGAACCCUAGCCGGCUAGGCGUUCUUCGUGGUUGCCCGUGUUGAUUCAUUUGUGAGGGCACCCCGAAGUGUUUGUAUAACCCUUUGAUUCUUAGUGGAAAUCUUGAGCUAACCUGUGUGGUUGCUUGAGGAAGGAGACCUAAGUGGUCGGACCUUCGUGGUCACCUCAACAAUGGGGACGUAGGAACUCCUUCGUGGGGAUUGCCGAACCUCGGAAAAAAUAUCUUGUCUUGCUGUGGAGGUAGCAUCGACUACCCUUGUUCUUGUGUUCUUCAUGUUCUUCCUCUCGACUCCCUUUCAUAGGUGAACAAGGGCCGAUCUACAUUUUGGAGAAGAACCGAGCCAAGGGGAACCUCAACAUCACCCUCUACUACAUCUAGGAGAGUGGGGUAACUCUCAGAUCUGAAAUCAAAACUCAAUAUACUCUGAUUUCAUUGCUCUCUUAGGGCGUCGGUAGUACCAACAGUUACGUCGGUAGUACUGGCUGUCUUACACCAGUAGUACCGGCCCAAACUGUCGGUAGUACCGACAGGCAUUUAACUUCCGCAACUUGAGUUUUUGAGUUUCAGGUUUUUUAAGAUACGCCUAUUCACCCCCCUCUAGGCCAAUUAGAUCCUUUCAAUUGGUAUCAGAGCAAGGUUCCUCGUACAAACGCUUCACCGCGUGAGGAGCAACAUUGGCCAUGAUGGAUCCAAUAGCACAAAAGCAAAUUGUUGAUCAAAUCACAGCACAGAUCACUGCAUCCUUACAGCUGCAGCAACAAGAGCAAAUGCAGAAGAUGCAAGCAGAGCUUGACAAGAUGAAAGAGCUCCUAGGCAAAAAGAAUCAUGAAUCGGGUAGCGAAGAUAAAAGUGAAGAUGGUAGCAAAACAUCAAAGAACUACAACAAAGCUAGCUUUGACUGUGGUGAUUCAAGCAAGAAUCCAACCUUGCCGAUGAUCAAUCCUGGAAAACCACCUACAUUUGAUGGUGUAAGGUACACCGAUUGGGCUCAUAGGAUGAAUCUACAUCUCAUAGCCUCAAGAUGUUGGGAAGUGGUGGACAUUGGAGUAAAUACACCUCAAAAUCCAAAUGAGUGGUCACCCGAAGAUGAAAGAGACUUUUGUUGGGUAUUCUUAACAUCAUUACCAAAAGUAGACUAAGUUCUCUAAAUCUAGUAACCGUGCCAAAAAUACCAAACCUAUCCCUCACACCACUUAAGCCAAGUUGUCAUCCCCAGCAUGAUAUAAGAGACGCGGUAUUGAAAUAUGCAAUUGCUCUUCUAAAUAAAUAAUGAAUGGGAUCUGCAAGCGCACAGAUUAAUACCGAUGCAACAUUUUAACCGGGAAGUAUUCCAGGUAUCGUUAUUUAUAUUUUUACCACUGGGAAGGGAUUAGAAAUCAUCACUAUUGAUUACAGAAUAGAAUAUGAGAUUGAGCAUCUAUCAUUGUAUGUAUAAUUGAGAACAUUAUAUCUAACUCAUCAUACAAGGAUAAGUGUCACAUAAAAGCUAUAUGAAAUAAUAAUAGUGACAAGGAUAACUAAUCUGAUCUAGCCACAUAAUAAAUAUGAUAAGCACCUCAAUUAGAUACUCUAGAAAGUCAUUAGCAUGGUAUUUGUGGGGGUAUAAACCCCUAUACCCUCAUGGGCCUAUAUGGGCCGCACCAUCAGAGGUGGCUCGGCCCACAGGAUGAAGACGUGCGGCGCACGACUGGUCGGCGUGCACCGCAAGGCUACAAGAUUUUGUACCAAAUAGGAUACUUUACUUGUAACUCUGUCCCUUCACGAUAUAUAAGGAGGGGCAGGGGUCCCCUAGAGGACAGACUAUACACAUCAUAUUCUCUCAACACAAAUCAAUACAACCAGACGCAGGACGUAGGUAUUACGCCAACUCGGCGGCCGAACCUGGAUAAAAAGCUUGUCCGUGUCUUGCGUCACCAUCGAGUUCGUAGUUUGCGCACCGUCUACCGACAAACUACUACCGUGGGUAUACCCCAAGGUAGACUGCCGACCAGCUUUCGUCGACAGUGGCGCGCCAGGUAGGGGGUGUGCGUGCAACUUUUCCGACGAACGAGAUGGUCAUUAUCCCCGACUUUGUGGCCAUGGCGGGCGACUUCACGUUCACCGUCAGCUUCAACAGCUUCACCGCCACGACCACGGAGGAGGUGUAGAUCCGAUCUGCGCCAAUCACUUCUUCAUCGACGUCGGCGGCGGCUUCAACCACGCUGGCUACGACUCCAACUACUCCAGCAACGUCUCCGACCACGCCGACAACGCGUCACCCGCUUCUCUGCUACAAAGGGAGGCAGAUCGACGACACCGACCUGCUCAGGCUAUCGACCAAGUUGUGUAGCCUACUUGCUCUGACCACGAGUCGCAAUAAUAAUCGCCGCGAAGAACGGCGCUACGACAGCCGCGACCACCAUCACGACAACAAGUCAAGCAACUCUCCCGACCAGACUUUCGUCCAAAGAUAAGUACAAUUCUAAUAUUUUAUUUAUUUUUGGCAUAAUAUUUUUAAGAUUAUUAUUCUUCAAAACAACUUUUUUAGCCGACUAGUUUUUUCUCCUACACGAGCUUUCCAGAGCCGGUACUGUCUCCGACUCCUCUCUACACGUGCACGAGAUCCGCCCUCUGCGUUCCGGGUGGUCGGCAGUAGCUCUCUGACGUGGCUGACAAUCCUACGCGUGCCUAGGUUCUGCACCUCAUGCUGAUUGUUGGCUAGACCAGAGCUGGUACAAGCUCUAGGAUGAAUUAACUACUCGUGCUAAUUUUAUAACAAAAAAUCUAAAACUUAUCUUAGUACUGAUUUUUUAUCUAAAGGUUAUUUAUACAUCAUGUACUACCAAUUCUUUAUAUUUACUUUUUAGGAGUUUGGCCCAGUCGACAAGCUACGCUUGGAGACUCGUCGACUAUUCCCUACGCUGUGCCCGGGGACUGCUCCGACCACCGAGCACGUUUACGUUUCCAACCACGCUCGGGGACUUGUCGACUACUCUCUAUGUUGUGCUCGAAGACUGUGCCGACCACCGAGCACGUUUACGUUCCCAACCACGCUCAGGGACUUGUCCACCGGUCCCUACGCCGUGCUCGGGGACUGUGCCGACCACCGAGCACUAUACGCUCGGGGACUGUUCGACCAGCUCACCAAUUUGAGAGUUUUGGGACUGUACCGACCACCGAGCACUAUACGCUCGGGGACUGGUCGACCAGCCCACCAAUUUGAGAAUUCGGGGACUGUACCGACCACCGAGCGUUAUAUGCUCGGGGACUGGUCGAUUAGUCUAUUCAAUUGCAGACGGACUGGUAAAUUCAAUUUUUUAGACCUUGCUACAAGGCUCAUACUUCGCCUUCCAGCAAGCUCGGGGACUACAUCGGUACGAUGCAUCUGGCGAUGCAUCUCAGUUUCAGAAUUUCUUUGAGGACUUUUCUUUUGACCCUGGCACCACGUGCCUACGUCACCUACUACCAGGCUCGGGGACUAAGUGGGCACACUUCACCUUGCGGUGAAUAUGCUUGCUUUUUGAAAGACUAUACUUUUCAGAAAAGUAAAGUGGGCACACUUCACCAGGAAAGAAAUCUUUUUUGAUUAAGAGCACCAUGUAUUCUUCGAACAACCUGCUUCUUCGAUGUCAAUGUUGAUCAACUGUCUUUUGAGUUGGUCAAAAUACCGUUGCAACUGUUUGGGCGACUUUCCUGCUUAUUGAAGACGUCAAGCCUCACUGAUCGAAGAAGCUCAAGACGGCGUGUUACAUCACAAUACAUGGUGCUCGGGGACUAGCUGUGGGGGUAUAAACCCCUAUACCCUCAUGGGCCUAUAUGGGCCGCACCAUCAGAGGUGGCUCGGCCCACAGGAUGAAGACGUGCGGCGCACGACUGGUCGGCGUGCACCGCAAGGCUACAAGAUUUUGUACCAAAUAGGAUACUUUACUUGUAACUCUGUCCCUUCACGAUAUAUAAGGAGGGGCAGGGGUCCCCUAGAGGACAGACUAUACACAUCAUAUUCUCUCAACACAAAUCAAUACAACCAGACGCAGGACGUAGGUAUUACGCCAACUCGGCGGCCGAACCUGGAUAAAAAGCUUGUCCGUGUCUUGCGUCACCAUCGAGUUCGUAGUUUGCGCACCGUCUACCGACAAACUACUACCGUGGGUAUACCCCAAGGUAGACUGCCGACCAGCUUUCGUCGACAGUAUUAGAACGAACUACAAGAAUAUUCCCUAAGUUAUUCUUAACUAUAUAGUCUAGCAUUAUCAUAAUUAGUGCAAGCAUACUUAGCAAUCAUUGCGAGACAAGACUACGCCCAUGCAUAGUGAUAUUAGCAAGGAAUAUGAGAAACACAGCAAUCACUCCCCUAUAAUAAUGUUGCUCUGCCAGCCCAAUACACGAGAGGGGGACUAUAUAAGAAUCAAUGAAGCUGUCACUAUCACGAACCACCCCACGAUCUGGCAUAUUGGGUACAAUCGCAGAUAAAUACGGUAUAAGCACCACGCCUACACAAUAUCUAUCAUUUACCCAUGGAUCCGAUGGAUAAACGCUAUACGAUCCUAAGCAUGUAUAUAGAUCAAAUCUAACUAAGCCAAGUACAUAACUAUGAUAAACUAAGAACAAUAUAAUCUUGAAUAUAAGCAAGUAGAGCAAAGUCAUAAGCAAUAUAUUGAAGUAGAACAAAGUCAUAUUCAUAAUGUUGAAGAACAAAGAUAAUUAGAAAGCAAUUAGAAGCACAAUUAGAGAAUUACCAAGAAUCCUCUUGACAGAUCCGGAAACCAAUCGAAGAUUGACUCCUUCUAGUUCUAAUCCUAUGUAGCUAUGCUAAUCUAGAUGUCUAAUUGAUGUGGUGGCUCUAAUCUUGAUCAGAGGCUUCUUCUCCCUUGAUGGAACAAUGAAUUAGGGUUGAGAGGCUCUCUCCUCCAGGGGCCAGGGGGUCUGGUUUUAUAGUCCCUUCAAGUGAAUAUGGGCCCUUGGAUCAAACCGACAUAGAUUGUAUGGUUUAGAUUCAUCCUUUAGGUCGGUGGAGAUCUCCCGCAAAGCAUAGUCCUGAUUGGACUCAGGGAGGGGGCGGGUGCCCAGUAGGACAGGGCGGGCGCCCUGUCUCUGGCCCCGUUUCUCCUCCGCUUCAGUCUCGUGGCUUCUGGAGUCUUCUAGAUGUAAGAUAAUUGCACAGCACGUUAAUAUCUUUACGUAAUCCCGGCAUGUGGGCCUUUCUUCCAUAUUUCCUGAUAACCCCCUGCAGAAAUAGACAAACACCAAAACUCGUGGAAUUCUGUCAGAUAAAACCCUAAGUCUGGAUCUUGUUUUUAUUUGGAUCUUUUUCUUUAUUUAUUUGAUAAUUAAGUUUGAUACUUAAGGACCGUCAACAACUUUCACCUAAAUGCAAUGGCAGUGACCUUGAUCUUGCAAUGCCUCACUCCGGAGGAUAACAACAAAGUGAAUGGCAUGGUGAAUGCAAAGCAAAUUUGGGACACUUUGAAGGUGUCAUUUGAAGGAGAUAAAAGUGUAAGAGUUGGAAACAUUGAACUCUUACAAAGUAAGAUUGAGAAUUUUUGCAUGAUUGAGGGAGAAACAACAAAGGCCAUGUUUGAUAGAUUCAUGUCCUUGAUCAACCAAAUUAGAGCACUUGGAGCAACAACAUGGGAUGACAACUCUGCAGCAAGAAAGAUAUGUAGGGUGUAUAGACAAAAGAACAAUAUGCUUGCUUCCGUCAUUAUGGAGAAAGACAAUUACCACACGAUCACACCUCAAGAGAUGCUUGCAAAAUUGAUGCAUCAUGAAGUCUUGGAUGAUGAAGCUAAGGAGACAAUCAAUCAAAGAAAGAGCAUUGCACUCACGGCAUCACAUGGAAGUGAGUCAAGUCAUUGCAACAAAGGGUGUUGUGAGCAUAAGCAUAAUGAUGACGAUGAUCUUGAUAAAGAGCAAGCUAUGCUAGUGGGAAACUACAAGAAUUACUUGAUAAUGAAGAAAUAUAAUAUGAGGAGAUAUGGAGGAAAUAAGCCAUACAAGAAGAGGUUUUGCUAUGAGUGUGGUGACACCGGCCAUCUUGCAGCCGAUUGUCCUAACAAAGAGGAGAGGUCAAGAUACAACAAGCAAGGUGACAAGAAGUACAAGGAUAAGAAGAGAGGUGAAGCACAUCUAGAUCAAGAAUGGCAAUCUGACAGUGACAGUGAUGAUGACAAUGACAAUAAGAAGAAGAGUAUGGUUGCCCUCGCCAUACAAGAGACAUCUUCCUCAACAAACAUCUUCACCAACAAUGCUUCAUCGACCUCUCUCUUCACCUGCACUUCUUCAUCACCUAGACUCUUCGCCAACCUCUCCGACGAUGACCAUGCCACUCCUACAUGUCUUAUGGCAAGAGGAGAUAAGGUACAAUUUGACUCUCCCACUCACACCACUAGUAAAUAUGAUAGUGAUGAUGAAGAUGAUGAAAACUAUGCAUCAAAUCUCAUUAAGAAAUAUGGUAAAGCUGCUGCAACUAAAAUCCUAAAGCUAAUAUAUGCUAAAGAUAAGCUUGAGUCAUGCAUUGAGUCGCAAGGGGAAUUGCUCCUAGAGGAAAGGGAGAAGAACCAAGGACUUGAAGCAUGUCUCUCCAAGGAAAAGGAGAGGGCUAAUAAGUUGAGUGUAGAAUUGUCUUUAGCCAAAGAUGCUAAUGAUCAUUUGUCUAAGGGACAUUCUUCACUUAAUAACUCUUUGGCUAGCCUAAAGAAUGAUCAUAGUUUGGCUCAAGAGAGCCUUACAAGCUUGACAACUAAAUAUCUUGAGCUUGAACUAAACUAUGACAAGCUUUGGACUAGCACCUCUACCAUUUCCAAGAAUUCCAAAGCUUCAACAAGUAAAAGCUGUGAAAGAUGCUUAAAUGUUGAUAUAAAUGCUUGUGCUACUAACCUUGUUGAGCUAGCAAAGAAGGACAAGGAGAUCCAAAGAUUAAACACAAUUGUCAAGAUUGGUUGCAAGUGCAAGGACAAGCAACCGGCAAAUGUGUUCAAGGCAUCAAGGCACCCCAUAAUCAAGGAUGGCCUCAGUUACAAUAGGUAUAAUGGUAAGGCCAAUGGAAGAAACAUGAUAAAUGGGGUGGCUUAUGUGAAGUUCAACAAGAGUGUGCCUCUUGUUGACCUUAUUGACAAGGUGAAAAAUAUUGCUACUCCUAUAAUUCCUCUUACAAACAACAAGAACAUCAAGAAGAAGCAAGUGGAGGUGCCCAAGCAACAAGUGCCUAUUUCACGCAAUCACAUUUGUGAUUACAUGUGUUGUUGGGACAAGGAUGGCAAGAUUGUUGUGAAGUAUGUGGGUGCCCUUAAGAAGAGACAAAUCUUAAGGUGUGUUUGGGUGCCCAAGUCUUAUAUUUCUAACCCCCUAGGUCCCAUCUCGGGACCUAAAACAAAAGCUUAAUCUUGUGUUGUAGGAAUACUCCUCCGGUGGACCAAAAUGGGUGCUUGAUAAUGGAUGCACCAAUCAUAUGACCGGAGAGAAGAACAUGUUCACAUCCUUUAAAUCAAAUCAAGUUGCAGGUGAAAGGAUUGUCUUUGGUGACAAUAGUAAAGGAGAUAUCCUUGGUUUGGGUAAAAUUGCUAUCUCAAAUGAUAAUUCAAUUUCAAAUGUAUUACUUGUGAAUUCGUUGGGAUACAAUUUGUUGUCCAUCUCACAACUUUGUGAGAAGGAUUACAAUUGUCUCUUUACGGAUAAGGGUGUAGAAGUCUCUAGAAGGUCGGAUUCCUCUAUUGCUUUUACGGGUCAACUUAAGGGCAAGCUCUAUCGAGUUGAUUUCUCAUCUAGUAGAGUGGGGUCCAAGACUUGUUUAGUGGCAAAAUCUAGCAUGGGCUGGUUAUGGCAUCGCUGUCUAGCUCAUGUUGGGAUGAGGAACUUGGCCGAUCUUCAAAGAGGUGGAUACAUCCUAGGACUAACAAAUGUUUCUUUUGAGAAAGAUAGAAUUUGCAGUGCAUGUCAAGCGGGAAAGCAAGUUGGAGACAAGCAUCCCACUAAGAACAUCAUGACUACAUCAACGACCACUUGAGUUACUUCACAUGGACUUAUUCGGACUCAAUGCUUAUAUAAGUAUUGGAGGUGAAACCCAAGGGAUCUUCAAGAAGUUUGCAAGAAGAGCUCAAAGUAAGUUUGAGGUGAAGAUCAAGAAAGUGAGAAGUGACAACAGGAGAGAGUUUAGAAACACCAACAUUGAAGCUUUCCUUGAUAAAGAAGGCAUCAAGCAUGAGUUCUCGGUUCCAUACACUUCACAACAAAAUGGUGUUGUGAAGAGGAAGAACCUGACACUCAUUGAAGCCAUAAUAGCAAUAUUGGAUGAAUACUAGAUUUCACAAGAAGACUAUUGGGCGGAAGCUGUCAACACGGCAUGUCAUACUAUCAACCGCUUGUACCUCCACAAGUUGAGGAAGAAAACCGCCUACGAGCUUCUAACCGGUAAAAAGCCUAAGGUGGACUACCUUAGAGUUUUUGGAUGCAAGUGUUUCAUACCUAAUAAUAAAUCCAAAAGCUCUAAGUUUGCACCAAAGGUUGAUGAAGGUUUCUUACUUGGUUAUGGUACUAACGAACAUGGCUACCGUGUCUUCAAUGAGACCACUGGUCAAAUUGAAAUAGUGGUAGACAUGACUUUUGAUGAAAGCGACGGCUCUCAAAAGGAGCAAGUCAAUGCUAAAAUUUUAGGUGAAGAAGAACCAUCUCAUCAAGUGAUCAAGAAGGCUUGCUACCGGUGAAGUGAACCCUGUUGAAGAAGAAGAAGAUGAUGCACAUAUGCAAAUUCCUCAUGAUCCAAACUUGCAUCAUGGGUCAACCAAUGCCCAUGAUGAUACUUCCACUUCAAGAAGGGGUCAUGACUCAAGGGAACAAGCUAGUCAAGAUCCACCACAAACUCAAGACCCAACCAAGGUGGUGAUCGAGACAGUCAAGAUCUUGAUUCUCCAAUCAACCAAGACUAUGAAGAUGAAGAUGAUGGUCCAAUUCAAACAAGAACAGUAGUGCCUCACCCAAGAGUUCAUCACUCCAUCCAACGGGAUCAUCCUGUUGACAGCAUUUUGGGAGACAUACAACGAGGGGUAACAACACGCUCUCGUUUAGUUGGUUUUUGUGAACAUUACUCUUUUGUCUCCUCUAUGUUGCCAAAUAGGUGGAAGAUGCCUUGAAGGAUCCGGAUUGGGUGAUGGCCAUGCAAGAGGAGUUGAACAACUUCACUAGGAAUGAAGUCUAGUCCUUGGUGGAAAGACCCAAGCAAAAUGUGUUAGGUACCAAACGGGUCUUCCGCAACAAAGAAGAUAAGUAUGGCAUGGUCACAAGGAACAAGGCACGAUUGGUAGCCAAAGGUUUCAGUCAAAUCAAAGGUUUGGUUUUUGGGGAGACCUAUGCGCCUGUAGCUAGGCUUGAAUCUAUUCGCAUAUUACUUGCCUUUGCUGCUCACCAUGAUUUCAAGUUGUUUCAAAUGGAUGUGAAAAGUGCAUUCCUCAACGGCCCCCUCUGUGAAACCAUGUAUGUGGAGCAACCGCUGGGUUUUGAAGAUCCACAUCAUCCCGACCACGUCUACAAGCUUGACAAGGCACUCUAUGGGCUUAAGCAAGCCCCUAGAGCUUGGUAUGAUCGUCUCAAGGAUUUCCUACUCAACAAGGGUUUGAGAUUGGAAAAGCUAAUCCCACUUUAUUUACUCGCAAAGUCAAUAAUGAUAUUUUUUUUUGCCAAAUAUAUGUCGAUGACAUUAUAUUUGGUAGUACUAAUGCGGACUUUAGUGAGCAAUUUAGUAGGAUCAUGACCAAGAGGUUCGAGAUGUCCAUGAUGGGGGAGUUGACAUACAUUCUUGGAUUCCAAAUCAAGCAACUCAAAGACGGCAUGUUCAUAAGUCAAACCAAGUACACCACCGACAUGCUAAAGAAGUUUGACAUUGACAAGGCCAAACCCAUAAAGACACCAAUGCCAACAACCGGACAUCUUAACCUUGAUGGAGACGACAAGGCCAUUGAUCAAAAGGUAUAUCAUUCCAUGAUUGAAUCUUUACUUUACCUUUGUGCAUCUAGGGCUAAUAUUAUGCUUAGUGUGUGCAUGUGUGUAUUCGAAUAGGCAAAAACUCUUGUGAAAAAUUGUGUAAAUCUUUCAAAAUCUAUUUUUCACAGCUCAAAUGUGUCCAUAGUUAUGUAAUGGCUUCAUGAAAUCUGGACAAAUUUGAGUUGGUUUGAGUAUACUAUGUGGUUCACCUCCUUUAGAAUUUCUGCUCACUGGUUUUUGACCUCCUGCAACUUAUGACAUUCAAGCAUAACUGGAACACAGAGGUUAUUUGUCAGUUUUGGGCCACAGUUUACAUUGAUGUAGAGCACAAGAUACUUCACUAGAUGACUGCGGACCUUCACUGUCAGUAUGAUUACCGCCAGUUCUCCCACCUUUUUGGGUUUGAUCACCAUGUCUGUGAUGCUCCUAGCUUAUAUGGUCAUUGUCCAAAUGGUGUGGGCAGGGCUGAUUUCAUUGAAGCAGCCUAAUGUUGAUCCGACUAAGGCAAAUGGUAAGACAGAAGGUCUAAAGCCCUAUUUCUAUGUGCUCAACAAUUUGCUCCGUGCUACUAUUGACACAAAGGUUGGUGAUGCUACUUCAGUUUAGAAUCAUACUCCAACCAUCCUUGUUUGCUUUGGGCUUAAGAAGAGGUUCAGUGUGACAGAUCUCCUGUGGCAUCACACAUUGAGGAGGGUUCCUAGACCUCCAACCAGUCCUUCCCCUAUGCUCUGUAUCUCAUGUAUAUCAUUGAGCAAGUCAUUGGCUUUGCAUUCUAGCAAGACAGUAAGCACCUAGACUGGAAUGUCAGAUGUAUUUAGGCUAAGUCCAAGCAAAGGGAAAGGGCUAGCAACAGAUGCUAGUGGCAACAGUGCAGCACAGGAUGAUGAGGUGUAGUGUGACACUGAGUUUGAGCAGCAGCAGGGUUUUCAGUGAACCAGUGCCUUUGAUGAUGAUGAUGAUGAUAAUGUUGAGUAGUUCACCUACUGCCUUUGCCCCUUGGAGCUUCAUGAAGCCUACCCUUUUUGGCAUUUGAUGCCAAAGGGGGAGUGUUAGGCUUAUCUCAUAUGGUAUUAGGCUUGGUAUCAGGAUUAUCUCGUGUGGAUUAUCUCGUGUGGUGAACCAUGUGGUAAACUUAAACUUUGUGUGUGUGAUGGUUGAUUGUAGGCUGAACACCUAAGAUUAUUUGUCAUAUCCUGCUUGUGUUAGCUGAUUUGGGAUUGUGCUGAUGUAAUGUUGUUUAUGAAUGGUUAUGAUAAUCUAUAAGUCCUUUUCUUUCUUGCAUAACCAUUCAAGUUCUUUCUUUUUAUUCUUUGUGAUAUAUCUUGUCAUAUGCAUCACACUUAGGCACCCCACGGAUUGCAAAAUUUAGGGGGAGCUUGUUCUUAAUGUAUGCCAUCUUGAUUCUAAUCAAGAUUUGAAAUUUCAAAUCCAAUGCAUACAUUGAGGGGGAGCUCAACUUGAAUUUUGGAAUUCAAAAGCUUCAUUUCUUUCAAUUUUUAUAAGCCUAAGUUGGUUGUCAUCAAUUACCAAAAAGGGGGAGUUUGUAAGUGCAUUCGCCCCCGAUGUGGGUUUUGAUAAUUAAUGACAACCAAAUUAGGGACUAACGUGUUUAUCGAGCAUAAUCUACAGGUGUUAGUCCAUUGAUGGAAUUGAACGAAAACAUUCGGUGAAUUAUAGCACCCCUAAAUUUCUAAUGGAUGAACGGUGUUUCGACUCAAGUGGCUACAAAGUUUUUAUUCUUUGUUUGAGUUAUAGGAAACGCCGCACCAUCAAGAGGGAUGCAAAUCAAGUUGGUAAAAUGAGGAUAAGGGUGCUUAGGUCAAUUUACUUCUUGCGCUUGAGAGACACACUUGCACGCACGAAGCACUAGGAAAUUUCUUCUCUGCCAGGGUGACCCGGUAGUACCAACCCUCAGGGCCGGUGGUACCGGCAGUGCCAGCCUUUCUCCUGAGUUUUGCGAGAAAAUGAACUACCGGUAGUACCGGGCUCGGGUCGGUGGUACCGGCCAGCACCAGUAGUACCGGUGUGAAACGUCGGUAGUACCGGCAGGCCAAAUCUGCGCUGACUUUGGUUGCGGAGAUUUGAACUGCCGGUGGUACCAGCCUUCCACCGGUGGUACCGGCAAUGGUCGGUAGUACCGACAAAAGCCCGGUGGUACCGGUAGGCUUAUUUCUCGCAAAUCAUAGAGACUUCUUACCGUUAGAUCUGAGGUAGCCGGUGGUACCGGUGGUUGCCCCGGUAGUACCGGCAGUUGUUCAGGACCUAUGUAUAAAUAUCUCUUCCCUCAUUUCUGACCGUUAGCUCUCCCAUUCCUUCAACUCUACAUCUGAGAAAUCAGUCUCCAAGCUUUGUCUCACCCACUCUCUCUCCCUCUUUGCUCCUAGACUUCACUCCUUGAGAGAUUCGAGCUAGAGAAGUGAGAUUAGAGAGUUGGGAGCUUCGAUUUGUGACUUGAGCACUUGGAUUCUUCGUCUUGCCGGUUUUGUUUGCAUUUGUUACUCUUGGGUUCUUGGAACCCUAGCCGGCUAGGCGUUCUUCGUGGUUGCCCGUGUUGAUUCAUUUGUGAGGGCACCCCGAAGUGUUUGUAUAACCCUUUGAUUCUUAGUGGAAAUCUUGAGCUAACCUGUGUGGUUGCUUGAGGGAGGAGACCUAAGUGGUCGGACCUUCGUGGUCACCUCAACAACGGGGACGUAGGAACUCCUUCGUGGGGAUUGCCGAACCUCGAAAAAAAUAUCUUGUCUUGCUGUGGAGGUAGCAUCGACUACCCUUGUUCUUGUGUUCUUCGUGUUCUUCCUCUCGACUCCCUUUCAUAGGUGAACAAGGGCCGAUCUACAUUUUGGAGAAGAACCGAGCCAAGGGGAACCUCAACAUCACCCUCUACUACAUCUAGGAGAGUGGGGUAACUCUCAGAUCUGAAAUCAAAACUCAAUAUACUCUGAUUUCAUUGCUCUCUUAGGGCGUCGAUAGUACCAACAGUUACGUCGGUAGUACUGGCUGUCUUACACCAGUAGUACAAGCCCAAACUGUCGGUAGUACCGACAGGCAUUUAACUUCCGCAACUUGAGUUUUUGAUUUUCAGGUUUUUUAAGAUACGCCUAUUCACCCCCCUCUAGGCCAAUUAGAUCCUUUCACCCAGUUACAAAUAUAGACGUUUACAUACACGAGCACACACUCACCUUUAUAAACGUAUGCACCAAGUUGAACUAACAAAUCUCGAGAUUAUCAAAGUCAGAACAAGCACAAUCUUAUUAAACACUCGAGGCAUCCUAUCUUAGCCUAGCCUAGUUCUCAAGGGCCUUGGACGAAUCUGAUCCAUCCAUUCUUACUUCUUACACUGGACGGCCCAUUUGAGCCCACCAAGAAGGCCCAAACGAAAGAACGCAAAGGAUCACUCUCCAUCACGCACUCCGUCACAGGCUGUCCCCGUUCUGUCUACGAGGUGAACGCGGAUCGGCGGCGGCGGCGGCGCGAGGCGAGCAAGAUGAGCGGGAACGGGGUGGUGAAGAAGGUGUCCGACGCGGCGACGAAGGCGGGCAAGGCGAUCGACUGGGACGGCCUGGCCAAAAUGCUUGUCUCCGAUGAGGCCCGUAAGGAGUUCGCCAACCUCCGCCGCACCUUCGAGGACGUCAAUCACCAGCUCCAGACCAAGUUCUCGCAGGUAAUCGUCCAAGCCAUCCUAGGAUCUGGUUCAUCUUCCCCAAAUCAGGUUUGAUUGAAUCGGGUUUGUCCUGGCGAUUCGUAGCAUCCCGGUGUACCAAUUUUUUUUUGUGGAAAUCAGGGCCAUCAUCUAUAUUGCAUAUGAUGUAUCCGCGCAUAUGUGUACUGUGUAGACCGAAACAUGUUUUAAUAGGUCGGUGAAAACCCAGGUUUUUGCACCUGCAUUUCUGCAGGCAAGAUAAAAAUAAAACCCAGGUCUGUGAACUACUUGCUACUAAUACAUAAUCAUCAGACAAUGCCGAAUGUAGUAUGUUCUGGGGUAAAAUUUCCAUUUUGUGCGAAGGCUGCCCAAAUACCUUCUGAUUUUGUUUUGCUUUCAUUGUAUCUCAGUAUGCUUGUUAUUGUUAUUAGUACAAACAGAAAAAAAAGGUACAGGUCAAUGGCUGAUUUGCUUCUGAUGCAUGUAAUCCAUUGGUAUAAAUGAUUAAAUAUUGUUUAGAUGUCCAUCAACAACACUGCAGAGAUUUCUAUUACACAUUGACAAGCAGCAUUUGCUUGCCAGUUCAAGAAGACAAGUGGCAUUGUCCUUAUUAAAUAGAUAGUCCUCUUAUAUCUGUUAAAUGCCCAUAGUCCUACCUCAUUGUAGUUGUGCAUUGAGUUUGGUUGAUAUGCUCUUGGCAACAUUGAAAUCACGGGCCAUCUCUUCUAAGUAUUUCUUCAAUUAUUUUGCAGGAACCCCAGCCAAUUGAUUGGGAGUACUACAAAAAAGGAAUUGGAUCAAAAGUUGUCGAUAUGUACAAGGAGGCCUAUGAAAGUAAGUAGUAAUUCUCCUCUCCAUCUUAUUCAUGUAUCUGCAAACUGUUGCACUAUUAAAUUGCAGGCAAUCUGGUUAUAUUAUUUUUGGGAUUUACAACUUGUUAUCUUUGUUUAACUUGGAAUAUUGAGUAGAACACCAGAUGCAACUUCCUUUUUCUAUUCAUGGUAACAAAGAUCUAUAGUAGGAUUGUGUAAAUAAAGGGUGUUUCAUGUGUGCGUUUGAAUACCACAUAUUUUUUUAGAUACCAUAUUAUUGGAGAUAUUUUUGGUAGAAAAUUUCAGCUGAAACUAGGCAGUUCUUACUGCUCUUUGUAAAUGGGCUACUAAUAAUAGGCUGCGUACAUGGCGCAUUGCAACAUUGAACUCUAAGAUGGACCUAGAUGUCUUACCAAAUGAUUUAGUACUGUUCUGCUCACAGUUGCCGGUCUUAAAGUUUUCAGAUAUUCUUAUGGUUCUUUGCACUUUUCAGCUAUUUAACCACCUAUUGUGAUGUGAAUCGUGAAAAAAUGCAGGCAUAGAGAUCCCCAAGUAUGUUGACACUGUCACUCCUCAGUACAAGCCAAAGUUUGAUGCUCUGGUGAGGAUCCACUCCUCUCUUUAUAACUUGUACUUCCUUAGUUCCUUUCCUUUGUUUACUGUGACUGUAUUGCUUUGACCAUUGCCUCCUUGGCUCCUUCAUAUAUUAAUGAUAUUUUCUGCCUGUAUGAUAUACAUAGUUGGUUGAAAUGAAGGAAGCGGAAAAAGCAUCACUAAAGGAAUCAGAGAAGAUAGAGAAGGAGAUUGCUGAAAUGAAGGAGAUGAAGGUGAGCUUGAUCUUUAACAAACAUGGAUCAUGUUUCUUUCACACAAGUCAUGCUAACAUCACACCUUGCUUGUACACACAGAAAAAGAUCAGCACGAUGACUGCAGAUGAGUACUUUGCGAAGCACCCUGAGCUGAAACAGAAGUUUGACGACGAGAUCCGCAAUGAUUAUUGGGGAUACUAAGGCGCAGUGUCACCUUUCUUUGGAACAUCCAAUAAUACAUUUCGCCCCCUAAAUGUCCUUAGGAGUUAACCAUCCAAACUUCACGAAUUGUGUAGCGCAUGUAUUGGGCGUGCCAAAGUUCCAAGUAACUUGUCUGUCCUUGCACCAUGGUCAGACCUCACAUUUUGAGUGUCAUAAGGGUCUUAUGAUAAUUUUGGUUUUGCUCUCCAAACAUUAUGGAAAUUAACUCAGGUUGUGGUUGCUGGUUUGUUUGUUUUUUUUACUAGAAAAAAGAGUUGCUGGUUUGUUGGAAUAUACACUCCUCCAGUCAUCCUUCUAGGCCAAGUUCCUUGAGAGUCAUCUGAAGCCUGAAUCUGUUGUGUUAGCUAUCAGUUGUCAUGGCUCUGCAAGUGUUCCCCGUGGACUAAUUCUGUGGGUGUUGUGCAGCCGAGUGACCUAAUAACGCUGGUCGGUGCCAUGAAAUGUCAUAUAGCACAUAUGUACUGAAAGUUCAGCCAGAUAUUUUUUAAGACGCUCAGUCCUGUGUUCGGCAAAUUUAUCCAGGACGUUUGUGACGGCCAGUUUUGGACUUUUUGUUAUGCUGCAGGCCUGCAGUUCAGCAAAACUGAGUUCGUGCACCGCCGACGACCCAAUUGGAAGCUGCAUAUCGGAAAAUAUCCAGUCGUUCACUGAAGCUGCAUAUCGGAAAAUAUCCAGUCGUUUACAGAAGUAGUACUAUGUGUAACAUUUAAGUACUGUACCACAUAACCACGCCUCCAUUAAUCUCAAGGAAUCCGUAUAUAUGUACGGUCAAGGGUCAAUUGCCAUUUUUCUCCGUGGCAAGACGAAAGUCGAAAAGCUACCAUUGACUUCACCAAUUGCAUCUGAGAUCAGACCCCACCUGCAUCAAUCACCAUCUUCUUUUGGCUUCCAGCCUUUCCCAGAGCUGAAAUCGAUCGAACUUGGUCUGCACCUCUACCAAAAAAUGCCAAAUUUUUUUUGUAUUCUGAAGUUGGCAUCCAAAGAUUCCGAACAGUGGCUUUCCUGUGGUCGGCAAAAUUUAGCAGAAUGUGGUGGCUGCGAGGACAAAACCACAAAAAGGUCCGGUUGUUCCACAGUCGGUGCAAGUGCCGACGCCAACACCCGGGCCCAAAUUACGUACUACUCGAAAGCUGCAUCUCGAGGAAGGAAUUGUAUAUUGUCAGUGGACGUGUAACAGCUGACCACGGAAUGAAUGGCUGAGCAAAGCCACCGUCAUGAACAACCCUUCGCGAUGGACUGGAGCUCAGCAGUUAGGCUCUGUUCUUUUAACUGCUGUUAUACAUAUGGUUUCGUCUAGCUAGACAAGGACCUGUGAAGGAACUGGAGCCAGGCCCUGGAAGCCUCUGUUUUUCUUUUUUGGACCUAAAAAAGAGGUUUGCACCGACGCAUCCGUCGUUUGAUGUUUACCUCUUUGGGGGUUGGAUUAAGAUAAUGGUGUCUAUGUUCAACUAAUAAGUAAUUAAUAAAGGCCAUGCAACCAUGCUUAGAUAGUAAACUGAUACUCCAUAUACUCGGAUUGAACCCCCCUUAGUCAAUACUAUAAGACUAGAUAUGAUGUUGAGAGCCAUUUCCAGAUUAUACUAUCUGUGCUGUAUGUAUAUGGAGUUAUGGACAGUAACCAUGAAGUGGGUUUUAUAUUCCAUAUCAAAAGGAAAUUAUACAAAUAUUAUGCUUGUUUUAAUGUUGUUUAGCAAAGUUCUGAACCCAUGGAAACUGAUUCAAUUGAUUAUAUUCUUUGUGAUGGAAGCUGCACAUGUGGGCUUAAUAAGGUGUAUUUAUUCCAAAAAUAAUGUUAUUCUAGGCGACCUAUCAUAUGACAGGUAGACACCUAUGAUAUACUUUUCAAAUUUUAAGAUUUAUUCCAUCAAUUUUUUUUAAGAUUUACCUUCUCAAUUUAUUGGAGGUUUUUUUUUAAGAAGAAGGUAUGUGUAUACAGGUGAGCAUUUACAUAGAUAAAGAAGUCUGAGGGCAUGUUUAGAAGAACUCCACUUAAAAAAAAAGAAUCUAGAUCCUAGAUUCACCUCCACCGUGGAGCAGCUCCACUGAUAUGUGAUUCAUCAAAGUGUUUGGUACAGCUCUAUGCUUCUCUCUAUCUCAAUGCCAACCUAGGCCCACACGUGAGGGGCAUAAUAAAAAAGAUACAAAAAAGCCACGGGCUCCUUCCAUCCAACAACUUUGCACGCAGGAGGGGACGAGGUCGUGGCCACGACUGGCGCGACCAGCGGGGCACACAUGAUGGCAUAGGCACGGCCGGCAAGGCGUGCAUGGUGGUGGUGCUCCUAUGCGUGAGUAGUCAGAGCUCGGUCAUGAGAAAGAAGAAAGGAAUGAACCGUGUUUUUUUGUGCAAUGAGUGGUAGGUGGGUAAUUUUACCCUACUCGACUUGGAUUUUGUGGUGAAUAUGAGCGUAGAUCCACCAUUUCGGUGGAUUAAAUCCACGGUGGAGCUGUAAGUGUUUGGUUAAAAAAAUUGGUUCUAAAUGUGUUUUUGUUGGAUUUGAAGCUAGUGGAGGAGCUCUUUCAAACAAAGUCUAUCUAGAGUUGGUGAUGAAUUUGGGCUCUCCUAUAGGAGAACAAAGGCCUUGUUAGUUCUAAAAUUUUUUCAAGAUUCCCUGUUAUUGAAUCUUUGGAUACAUGUAUGGAGCAUUAAAUAUAGAUAAAAAGUUAACUAAUUACGAGACAAAUCUUUUGAGCCUAAUUAGUCUACGUUGGAUAUAAUUGUCAAAUAUACAAACGAAAGUGCUAUAGUAGCCAAACUUAAAAAAUUUCGCGAACUAAACAAGACGAAAAUGGGCUCCAAGAGUACCACGAAAGUGCUAUAGUAGUCAAUCUCUGAAUUUCAUUGGAAUUUGGAGCUGGAGCUCAACCAAAGCGACAUUGUUCGGAGCUUAGUGCAAGGCUAAGCAGGACUGUAGCUGUAACUUUUACAAAUCACAAACUGAAACAAAAAAAAGAACAUUGAAGUAUACCUGAUUGCAGCAACCUGCCUUGUGGAUUGUUAGAUAUGUCAUAUGUUUCUCAUAAUUAAUCAAAGAGAUGAAAAGAAAACAAGGGCUGAAAAGAGUACCCAUAAUUUUCUCAUCACUUGCAUUCCUCCUUUAUUAACUUUGCUUCAAGACAGCAGGGUACACACGUGGACAACGUUACACUUCGCUUCCCACAGCACACGCACAACAUACACAUUGUGCUGCCGCACGCUCCACACAUCACUUGAUCGAAGCUAGCUACUUGCUGCUACUAAAUUAACCACGCCGCCGGACGUCUCCUUCUCCGUUCACCUUAAACUGCGGAGGAGGACGAGCUGAGUAGCUGGCCGGCCGGCCGACGAGACGGGCCUAGGCGUUGCUCCGGAAGGAGCCGUAUCCCCUGGCGCUGGCGCGGAGGACGAUCUGGUGGUACAGCGCUGCGAUCGCCGCGCCGAUGAACGGACCCACCCAGAAGAUCCACUGCACCAAUGAACAAAAUUGUGUACAUGUGUCAGUUUCCAAUCCAGGACAAUUAAUCGAUGAAACCAUAGCUAAGCUAACAGCUGAUUCCUGCCAGCUGCUGCAAUCUUGCAAAAAUGUGCGGAGAGGGAUAUGUAAAUGUGUAAGACCUGGUCGCUCCAGGCCUUGCUGUUGUUGUACACGACGGCGGCGCCGAGGCUCCUCGCCGGAUUGAUCCCCGUGCCGGUGAUCGGGAUCGUCGCCAGGUGCACCAUGAACACCGCGAACCCAAUCGGAAGCGGCGCCAACACCUGACCAUUUCGUUCGUCACUUGGUCAGUACAGAAAAGAGGCAACUCAUCGGCUUGCCAUUUCCACGUGCAAGAUGGCAGUGCUCCAAGGUCAAUUACCGGGACGUGGGAGUCGCGGGCGUUGCGCUUGGGAUCGGUGGCGGAGAAGACGGUGUAGACGAGCACGAAGGUGCCGAUGAUCUCGGCGGCGAGCCCCGUGCCGGUGGAGUACCCGGGACUGACCUCGUUGGCGCCGCCGCCGUAGCGCGCGUAGAAUCCGCUCUGGAAUCCCUUGACGAGCGCGACGCCGCAGAUGGCGCCGAGGCUCUGCGCGGCCAUGUACAACAGCGCGCGCACCAGGGACACCUUCCGCGCCAGAAAGAGGCCGAACGUGACGGCCGGAUUGAUGUGGCCACCGGAGAUGCCGGCGGUGCAGUAGACGAGGAUGAAGAUCAUGCCGCCGAACGCCCACGCGAUGCCGAGGAUCCCCACGCCGCUGCACGCCGCGUCGGCGCCCGACGCCGUCGCGUCUGUCUGGUGCUUGUACCCGAUCACCGUGGCCACCGUGAUGUACAGGAAGAGCAGCGUGGCCACGAACUCGGCGAUCACGGCGCGGUACAGGGACCACUUGCCGAGCUCGUGGAUGUCCACCAGCGGUGCUGGCGGAGGGUCGAUGUAGUCACGGGCGCCGCCGGCCUCCAGUGCGGACACGUCCACCUCCUUGGCCAUUUGCUCUGCGCUUGACCGAGCUGUUGCUGGAAGCUAGCUUUGCAAGAGCUGCUUGAGAAUUUGGUAGCCCUUGCUGUGUUGUGGUUUUCGUGCUGUCAUGGGGUGUUUUUAUAGGGGUCGAUGAGGGUUUAAGCUAUAAUAUAUAUUUUUUUCUUUUAACUUUAGAUAGUUUGGGUACUCAUAAGUAGCUGUUUCACAUGGGGCACAGCUAUAAUAUACGUACAUACUCCCUCCAUAUCUAUAAUUCUUGAUGUCUAGGACAUGAUUGUGCUAACCAAGAAGUGAUUAAUUAGAAGUUAGUUUUCCAUAUCUGCCCCUAAUAAAUAUGGUGGCUGAGGCUCUCUAUACAAGAAGAUAAAUUGGCUCAGCUGGCUAGUGCCUAGCAAUUUGAGUGUUGCAUCCUGGGUUCAAGCCCUGUUGUAAGGGACACGCGUGCAACAGCCAGCCAAACGGACGCCGCGCUUGGCAGAGGCCAGCCAAACGGACGCGAGCCUGUGCAACUUCUUGGAUGUGCGUGCAGCGGCCAGCCAAACAGACGUGAGCGCAUGCAGCGGCUAGCCGAACGGACGUGCUCUUGGCAGGCCGAAAGGACGUAAGCGCAGGGGUAUUCCCGUCCGUGCCAGCAGCUGGCAGUGCAGAACGACAAGUUUUGCAAAAUCUACACGAGUCUAGAACGUCAACUUUUUCAAGUAUGGAGGGAGUAUAUCAUAUGUGCAUGUAUGAGAAGUUCAUACACGAUACAUCAAGAUUUCCGGCUCAACCAAAAUGUAUAACUUUCUUCGUAUAAGAUUUAGGAAACACGAAGAAUGAAAAGUUUAUACGUGUUGUGUACUGGCACCGUGGAGAAGGGACUCGGUCAGCGGAUGACCUAAAUAGGUCGACACAUUGUGAGCGAGGCUGCAACCUCCUCCACUAUCGGGUCCUUCGAGACCUCGCGUGCGGUGGGCGUGGCGCCCAAAGUACGACGUGAGUGUCAAUGGGCCAAACUCAUAUAGGCUUACAUGGCGUGCCUCGCCACUCAGCUUGCCGUUAGCUUCCUAGGUAGCUCUUGCCACUCGACUCGCCACUAGCUCCUCUUAGCAAUAUCAUAGGCGGUGUUUGUGGCCGGCUACGACGUCGGUGUCGACAACCACUGCCGCCAUGCCUAAUGGCGCUUAGCAUGACUCCACUCGAGCCCGACAUACCAUCAUGGAUCAGUGGCUAAGAGCGUGAGAGCUGGUCACGACGACCCUGGGUAGAGUGCCCGUGCCACCAGGAAUGCCAGUCCUGACAGAGGUCGCCACCUGCGGCCGCUUGCAGUCAUGCACAGAUGGUGAAAACCCCCAUGAUGUAGGUAGUGCUAGAGGUCGCCACCCUAUGUGAGGAGGAUAUGUAGUUGAGGCAUUUCCCAUGUAGCUCCGGCAGGAGGUAGGGCACUGGUCGCGCCCUCUCGACGGCUCUCGUGACAGGACCUUGUGCCAGUCAUUGGUGCCUAGAGUCCAUCUGAGUCUAGGACCACAGCCUGUCUUCGACGCCGCAUACUACUAGAAAAACCCCCUAUAGCGACGCUUUAUUUGUAACGUACAUCAAAAGCGUCUCUACGUCGGCACCUAAAGACGUUAUUUAACACAAUUUAAAGAACGCAACAAAGUGUCGCGAUAUUUAACACGCUUUCAACGUUAAAAGAUAUCUAUACAUAUUUUUUAACACGUUAUUGAAAUCGUAUCAAAAUAACACAAAAUUAGGCACGCUUUCAACCGUCACUAAUCUCUACACAUGUUGUAAAGCAUAUCUCAAAAUCGUCAAUAGGCACCUAAAGAUGCUUUUUGACACGCAACUAAAAACGUAAAAAUAUGACACAUAGUUAGACAUGCUUUUAACCGUGAGUAGCAUGAAGACACGUCAUAAAAGCGUAUCAAAUAAUAGUUGACAUGAAAUACCAAAAUAUCUCUAGUUGACAUGAUAGAGAUGUUUUUUUGGUGCGAAAUUAAAAACAUGUAACCAACCAUGGCGGCUAUAAACUGACGUGGCAUAUUAUUCACCAGAGUUAAUGUGGCGUAUCUUAUCUACCAUAUACCCUUAAAGUUGUAUACCAUAGCUCCUCUCUCAUAUUACUGUGUGGCAUAUAUUAUUGGAGGUCAAAACAAUAUCAACAUAUUCAAUUUGUUUUAAUGAAAAAUACUAGUAUAAAGAAAUGGCUAGUGUUUGUCAUACAUGUUUGAUAGAGCACACAAUUAAUUAAUUAAUUAAUUAAUUAAUUAAUAAAAAAAUAGUAGUAGUAGUAGUAGUAGUAAUAAUAAUAAUAAUAAUAAUAUUAUUAAUAUUAGUAAUAAUAAAAAUAAUAAUAGUAAUAAUAGUAAUAAUAGUAAUAGUAUUAGUAAUAGUAGUAGUAGUAGUAGUAGUAGUAGUAGUAGUAGUAGUAGUAAUAAUAAUAAUAAUAAUAAUAAUAAUAAUAAUAAUAAUAAUAAUAAUAAUAGUAGUAGUAGUAGUAAUAGUAGUAAUAGUAAUAAUAAUAAUAAUAAUAAUAAUAAUAAUAAUAAUAAUAAUAAUAAUAAUAAUAAUAAUAAUAAUAAUAAUAAUAAUAAUAAUAAUAAUAAUUAAUUAUUAUACAAAAAGAAAAAAGUGGUAGAUCUAGCCAUACACUUAACAAUAAUAGAUAGGAAAAAUAGUAGACCCUAGACACCAAACCAAGUAGUAAGGGAUUGAGACCAACAUGCCUUACCAUUGCGCCAAUUGUUUUGCUUUGUAGGAUGGAGUUAAUUCUUUAUUUGUGAGGAGAUAUAUCUACUUGUGUAUAAUCUCACUUUAUUAAAAUGAAUUGAAAUUUUGAUGGGAAAGCUUAUGGGCCCAAAAUAUGUUUUCAUGUUGGUUUGUACAAUUUCUUUAUGCCCUUUGGAUAUAUGAUUAUAAUUAUUUCAUAGAACUAUUAUUGAAUAAUCAAAAUAAUACUUAUAUUUGGUUAGAAAAUGGUGAAAACUCGUACGACAAUAUGUAGGUCAUUAAAGAAAAUCAUUGCCAAGUACAUAUCAUGCAACCAUAGGAACCACACAAAAAAAAUAUAAAAUAGGAUAAAAUGUUGCAAAGGUGGGACUCAAACCUAAAACCUUCCCAUCUCAAAGGAAAUGUUAUGUCCUAUUUGAUCUAUGAUAUGCACAAUAAAUUUAUUAUUUUAUAAUUCGCUAACAAAAAAUCUCUAAAAAGGACCGCACAACACAUCACUAAAAAUAAACACUCUCGCUUGCCACAUAUAGGCCAUGCAACCCUAUUUGAUCUAUAAUAUAUAUACAUAAUAAAUUAAUUAUUAUUUUAUAAUUCACUAACAAAAAAAUCUCUGAAAAGGACCUCACAACACCAAAGCCUGCUGCAAAAACAUGCUAAAACUAGGACUUGAACUCAAGAUCAACCAUUUGAAGGAGAAACGAGGUAACCAUUGAGGUAUAUUAUUGUAACAUGUCUCAUUAAUUUUCUUUUAUGUGUAGGGACGACUCUCAUUUUUUCAAAUUGCAUUAGUAAUGACUCAAUCUUCCGUCUACUCUAGUUCUCUUUAAUAACAAAAAUCUAAAUCUGGCAAAACAGUUUUUCCCAAACACGUUAAAGGUUUGCGCAUCUAUAUAUUAAGAUAGAGAAAAUGUUCGAUACACACACUACGGUGCUCUAGGAGGUUAAUAAGUCGUACAUGAAUGCUUGGACCCUCCCUAGUGUGCUGCAAGCUAUGCUAUGAGGCCUAUGCCUAGAUUGUACAGAGAUCAACCCAAAUUACGGCACCAGCUAGGAGGCCUUACCUUGCAAGGUACUUACCUUGCUUGAAUGUCGGAAUUUGAGAUAUGCUUUAUGCUACUAUCCGCUUUCUUCACGUGAGAAGUGUGGGUAUUGCAUACGUGACGUUGGCCGUAUCACCUCCGUAACUUGCAAAAUAGUUAACUUAUCUAUUUUAUAAAAUUAUUUCACAUUGAUAAACUAAUGCAAAUCCUAUCCUAUGUUAAAACUAUUUCUUAUCCUUCCCAUGCAAAUCUAGACACCAAAUCACCAAUAAAUCACACUUAACUGCCAUUUUAAAUUUGACUAUUUACCACUUUUAAUUUGGAUUCAAAUAUGAAUAUGAAUAAUUUUAGACGUGAGUAUAAAAUUUCAAAUUGACACUUGGAUAUUUACUCAAUUUCGCUUGAUAGGGAUUAUUAAUUUAAUUCGAUUUAAUUUUUAAGACCCGUGAAAUGCUUCAAUUUAGAUUGAGCUUUUUUUUGUUCCCGCCUUUCUUUCCCUCCAAUUUUUUUUGGUUUCAUAUACAUUCUUCUCUCGCGGGUAAUCUGAUUUUCACACCCCACGCUAAUUGUUGUGAAGCCUAACUGUGGCCCCACCUUUCAUAGAGACAUGCUAGAGGAAACCGUACAGCAUGAGAACUGCCCCCUAAUUGUGGAUCUCGUCUAACCUCUCCCUAUUGAGAAUCGUGGUUCCUUUUCUGUUUUCUCCCAUUGCACAGCUCCGUAACUUCCCUCCCUACGACGAACAUGGUGCCGUACCUCUCCUCUGAAGCCAUUACCCCUGAAUUGUCAGUUCAAUCAAUACAGCCCUCGACACAUGCUCUCUACCCUGCUGGAGGUUGUUCUGCUAGGAUUUGAAGGGAGUCUCGUCAUCUCCUCUGUCCUCAUAUUAAUGCAGCCAUUUUGUUCUUGAUCCUGCAUGAUUUUCUUCAUAUCAGAGAUCCAUCAAGACGAUGCCGCUAGGAUCUGAAGGGAAUCCUCGUCAUCUCGCCUUAGAUCAGUGCAGAAUUCUGCUGCAGUCGACGGUGCCAAUCAUAAUGUAUUAUCUCCUUUCUUCAUACAGUCUUAGCAGGCGAUUUAUAUUUUACUUGUCUUUCAUAUCUGGAAACCCUAAAUUCUCUUUGAUGCUUUCAUUCUUUUCAUCAAAAUUGACUUAUCCCUCUCAGAUUCUUGAUCUGUUUUUCUAAUAGACCAUAGAUUGUGAUAUGGUGGCCAUAGGUUGAAUCAAAUGCACCUAAUUACCAAUCCCUAACGUCCCCAAUUCUUUUGUAUAUUUCUUGAUUAAACAAUACUGGUUUUUUUUCUAGUGAAUACUCUGAACUUCUCGUGUAUAUCUUCUGAAUUUAAUUCCUUCUAUGCAGAUUUGCCUAAGUCAAAGGGAUAAGAAAGUAAUCACAAAUAUUGUGAUCUUGGCAAGGUCUGCCUACCUUAAUUUUUUCCAAGAUAUAUGAUUAAUUAUUCUGCGAGAGCUCCUAUUUUAGUUAUCAUGUAUCAUUGAAACUAACAGUCUAACACAGUAUCAAUCUUGUAGAUCAACAAUCAUAAUCUUGGAUGUUUGGAAUGGUGUGUUCUUUAAACAUAAUUUUUUUGGAGAAACUCUGCAAGAAUCUGUGUUCCAUCUGGUAGAACACUAGCUUCCUCAGCAUGUGUUGGAUAAACUAGGAACUAUUUUUUUCUUCACUAAUCUUUGGGGUGUAUUGGGCUUCCUCUCUAAUGUUUGCAAAUUGCACUAUGACUUAUGCUAAGGUUGAGAUAUAAUCCAACUGCAUAGUAUAUUUAACAUUUUCUGAUUUAGAUCAGGUUAGAUUCUCGCACAUGUCCUACCUGCAUUGGAUUUGUUUUUUUUUUGACACCUACCAAUGGAGUUCUUGAACAGUAAUGUUUUAGUUUCUUUUUUUGUUCAGGUGGAUCAAUGAAAUGGUCAUAACCAGGAUCCAUAAAGCUAGAUCAACACACAGGUAGUAACCCUUCCUGUGUUCUAGAUAAAAAUUUCUGGAUGAUUUCUUUCUCAGUCAGGUUGCAUCUUAUCAAUUCCCUAGCGCGUGGACAAUUACUACUGUUGCAGAUUGUCUAGUCAUAUCACUUUGGACUAAUAUGCUGAGAUUACAUGCCAAUUCAAUAAAACAAGACCUUGAAUUUUUCUACGGUCAUCGUAAUAUUUGAUUUUAUACUUUAUAUCCUUCUUUUUUGAUUUUGUACUAUACAAAGCUUUAGCUGGUAAAAGUAUUUAACAAUAGAUUGUAUCAUAUUAGCCGAGUAUGGAUUUGCUUUAUCAGUCAAAUUAAUUGAGACUUUUGGAUUAACACUAUUAUUUAUAGCCUAAUACUGCUAAAGAAUUGUGUUGCAGACCUGCUGCUGCUACCAAUCUGCAUCCACGGUUUGUCAACAAGGAUCAAUGAACUAUCAAUUUUACUAGUAGAUUCAAAAUAUGAUUUUUUUUUUGUUUACAUAGAUCUCAUUUUUAUACAUGAGCUGAUCGAAAUGUUAGAGUCAAUAGUUUCUGACCAUAGAAAGCCAUGGCAUUUUCAGUUUGUCGGGCACGAGAAAGGAGGGCUGCUGGCUGGCAUUCCAGAGGGAUCCUGUUAUAUUUUAUAAUUUACUCCAUAGGAGCUUGUAAUAUAAACAAAUUUUGUGUCAUCAAUUAUGUGGAUGGUAGUCAUUGUAAUGCAACAAAUUAUUUAUACCAUAUCGCUGUGUAUUCUUAUUUUCUUUGUGUUGCAUGGUCUUGUGUUUCUCAUUAAAUUGUAUAGUUAAUAUCUCUAUAUAUUUCACUCAAAAUUAAAUAAUUAUCAUAUUAAUGACUGGAUGGUUUAUAACGUUUCUAUAUUACUAUAUAAUGCUUUUUAUUAGUAGACACGAAAUAUAAAUUUGUUUGUCUAUAUUUUCUUGAAACACAAAACAAUGUUACUAGACAAUGUACCAAUAUUUGUUUGACACAUAAUAUAAUGUAUCUGCUCAAACGUCUCUAUACUUUUUAAUACACAAUAUGAUGUCAUUACAAAAUAUGACUACAUUAGUACACACAUAAUAUAAAUGUAUCUAUAAGAACGUCACAACACUUUUUAACAUACAAUACAACGUCAUUACACAACAUGAAUAUAUUAGUACACACAUAAUAUGAAAGUAUCUAUGAGAACGUCUCUAUACUUUUUAGCACAUAAUGAAGCGCUGCUAUAUAAUGUAUCUAUACAGAUAGACAUGUUAUAUAUAUGUAUCUAUAAAAGCGUAUCAAUAUGUGUAGCCAUGCAAGUAGCGUCUCUACAAAAUGUUUCUUUAUCUCCCUUGACACGCUAAGGGAACUCGUCUCUAUAGGUUCUGACACGGUCCAUGUGAAGACGCUUCUAACACGCUUUAUAAAAACAUGCCUACAACCUUUUAGAGACGAAAUAAAACAUGUCAAACAUAUAAAUAAAGCGUCACUACGGGGGGGUAUUUCUAGCGCUUCGAGUUCUAUAGGGCGUCGGAGGCAAGAUGUGGUCCUAGCCUCAGAUGAACUGGCCCAUGUUGCAUGUGGUUGUGGACAACCUGGCUAGUCCCGCCUGUGACAUCCUGGCCAUGGACAAGGAAUCCAUGGAUGAGCGACGAACUUGUCCGAUGAUCUUGGAGCGCUUACAUCGUUCGAUGACACCGCCAACCAGGCCGCCCGCCUCAUUAGCCGUGUUAAUGCGCUUGCCUCCAGUGACAAUAGUCUUAGACAACGGUGACAUCCUCAACGGUUGCUAGCCCCCACGAGCCGCAUCAAGGUCAGGGCUUGGGGAUGCGGGGUGUGGUGGAGUGUGUUAGGAGAGGGGGGUGAUUGCUCCGAAUCUGAGACGUUAAGGAGUCUAUACUCAGCCCAAUGACGAGCCUUGGAACACACCCCCCUCGAGCGCUACCUAGGGUGGUACAAUAGGGUGAAGGGAGAGAGUGAGGAUGGCGAGCUAGUAGCGGGGCAAUCUGAGGUAUCCUGCAACACUAGGCUGAUCUCAUUGACCAUUAGGCUCCCCAUGAUGGCCGGCAAACUUGGAGCAACUGGAGGACUACCGCGGCGUAGCUAGGGCGCCCCCCCACGGUGGGUCGUUGAAGGGUCGAGAUGGUGGACUAGAGGGGGGUGAAUAGUCCUUUUAAAAACUUAUAGUGAUGGCUAAUCAAAACGAGUGCAGAAUUAAAACUAUCGGUCUAGCCAAGACUACACCCCUCUAUCUAAGUUAUCUAGUACCUUGUAAAAGUUUCUAAACAAGCAAACAAGAUGCUACCUUAGUAAGAGCUCGCCUAACCAAUUCUAGGUGCAAGGUGACACAAACCUAUGCCACUAGUACUUCAAGCAUGGGAGAGCUCCGACACAAGCAGUAAGCAAAAACACAAAGCUCCUAAGCUCACUAGCAAAGCUCAAUAACAAAGGCAACUAAUGCCAAAUUAGAGAGCGCAACUUACUUAGCUACGCAAACUAAGCAAUAUGACUAACAAAGUUACACAAACAAAAUUAUCCAUGUAAGGGAACUACUCUUGCUACACAGGCAAGAAGGUAACUAGCAAGCUACACAAGCUAACUAAUUACAAGAGAAACUACACAAGCACAAGUAUAAGAAUAAAUACAAGCUUGUGUUAGGGACUUGCAAACCAACGGGAAGAACAAUGUUGACACAAUGAUUUUCUCCCGAGGUUCAUUUGGUUGCCACCAAGCUACGUCCCCGUUGAGACAAGCUCUAAGGUUGCCCCCAAUCCUCUUGCUAGUGGUGACCCGCAAGUCACAGUCUCCCACGUGGAGUGCUUACCAUAAGCUCUAGCACUUGACCCAGCCAGACCACUUGUCGACUUUCCAUCUCGUUCUACUAGAUUUGCUCUUUGCGAUCCCCAUGGGGUGAGCACCGUACCGCUCACACUCUCUUCCCUGAAGCACCGUACAAUCUCCUUGCAUGCUUCACUGGAGUCAUAAGCCACCAAGCCAUCUAGGAGAUGGCAACCUCCAAGAGUAACAAGCACCACCAACUUGCAACACGAACACCUAGUGCCACUCGAUGCAAUCUUGCAAUAAAACGCAAUAGAAUCACUCACUCGCUAUUGUUUCGCACCCUUGCAAGCAUAAGUGAGUUAGAGGCUUUCCUAGCACUCUCCAAGCAUGGACACUAAAUCCCAAGGGUGCCAAGCACCAGCCAAGGCCAACCACCACUCCUAUUUAUAGCCACAAGGGCUAAACUAGCCGUUGCCCGUCCACUGGGAAAAAAACAUGGGCGUCGGAUGCAUGACCCCAGCGUCCGACGCUGACCGAGCAGCCAUGUGUCACUAGCUGUUUGAACUUAAUUGUUGCUACCAAUGGCUAACUCACACGCGCGCAUGACACACUAGCACCAAACGCUCCAAUGGUCCAAACCGGACGUGGAGCCUCAGCACCAGACGCUACUUAGAGAGGUCUGCCAAUGCGUGGGGUGCGUCGAACACCCCUCAGCGUCUGACACGUACUGCUGACAAACUCGCUCGUGACUGAGGAUGACGUCAAACUACACCAAACUUGAGAACAGUGCUCAGCCAGCAUCUGACAUGCACUCAUUGGACGCUCCGACACAGUACUAAAAAAUGCGUCAUGUAGCCAACACUCCAUCGGACGCAGGUCUAGCGUCUGACGCUGCUGCUCUCAGUGUCUGACGAAUGUCUCGCUGAGAAACACUCGUGUGACUUUGUGGAAAUUUUCCUCCGGCGCAAUGGAAAAUAAGCAUUUCAUUUUCCAAAAAGCGUUGAAUCCCCUCUCUACCCUAGGAACUCGCCUCCUUUGCAAAUGUGCUAACACCACCAAGUGUCCACCACCAUGUGCAUGUGUCUUAGCUUUUCACAAUUAUUUUCCCAAAGGAGUUAGCCUCUCAAACUUGCCAUGCCACUUGAUCCUAACACGUAUGCAAAGUUAGAUCGCUCAAGUGGCACUAGAUGACCGAUAUGCAAACAAGUUUGCCCCUCUUGAUAGUAUGGCCAUCUAUCCUAAAUUCGGUCAUAAACUUCUCUACACACCUAUGACCGGUGAAAUAGAAAUGCCCUAGGUUAUACCUUUGCCUUGCACUUUCCAUUCCAUCUCCUCCAAUGUUGACGCAACACAUGCACCAACCAAUCACCAAAUAAUAUGAUUCACUUCAUAUCAUCAUGUGACCGGAUUGGUUCAUCGAUUUUGACCUCACUUGCUCUUCAUCAUUGCCUUGGUCCAUCGGCACCAAAUCUUGCUCAAGCUUCACCGUCACAUGCGGUCUCUCGUUUCAAAGCCUCUGACUUGCCCUUCACACUUGCAACCGGUCUAUCGAGCCAAGCCUCAUCUUGAUCUUCUCCACCUUGGUCACAUGACUCCAUGUCGUGUCUCAUAUGCAAUGAGCUCUUCCAUCAUCACAUAAUCACUUGUGGACUAUUCUCCUGUGUAUCUCAUAUAAACACUAUUAGUCCACCUAAGUUGUCACUUAGUUACCAAAACCAAACAAGGACCUUUUAGCCGUGUAGCCCAAUAGGCCAAGAUCUAGGCCCGCCGGGCCUCUCUAGCGCUAGAGGUUGCUAGGACAGUCACAAAGGGCAGGUGUCCAAGCAGCUGGUGUGCUUGCAUCCGUUGAUGGGGGAGGAAUGACCCCAUGGACGGCAUUGCAGACCUGCUGGCCAGCCUGCGAGCAUCACUGGCACUCAUCCCUUGCCUGUGUUGUGUAGAGGAACACACAUGUGGAGGCUAGAUGCAAUGGGAGAAGGGAGGGAAGGAGGAGGCCACCAGCGUGGGGUCGGCAGAGGUGGCGAUGGGGACCUGGCGGCACAUCUAGAUGGGGUGGAUUUGUUGCCAGCACCAGCUGCAGAGGCAAGGAUGGUGAAGGUGGGCAGAUCCACGGUUGUGGAGGAAGUAGAGAGGGGAAGGGAGGGGGCCACUGGUGUCUGGAUUGCGGCGGGGAAGGGGGAGGGGGGCUGAUAGGUUGCCAACGCUUGGGCCUAUUCAGUCACGCUCACAAAACAAACUUUCCUCACUAUUUUUUACAGUGUUGAAUAAGAGUAUCCAAUGAGAUUUUUGCAACAAAGUCAAGGCUAUGAAAUCAAUUAUGGUCGUAUUCUUGGUACAUUUCUUUGUCAACAAAAUACAUGCUAGAUACAUCUUACAAACUUUUAUGGCACAAUUUGUACUCCCUCUGGUUCGGUUUAUAAGGUGUAGUCAAACAUAGCACGGUGACCCAAAUUACAAGUUAAUCAUUCAUUUAUUAUAUAAUAUAUUUUUUAUAAUUAUAAAAUUAUGAUCAUUGGAUAGUAUAUUUGAUGAUGAAUCUAAUCAUAUCAAGUUUGUAUUACAAUUAAAAUUUGUUCACCAAAUUAUUGGUCAAAGGUUGUGAAGUUUGAAUCUUGUUUUACGUGUUUGCCUUGUAAACUAGACUUUUUUUUUGCGAUGAAAGAAGAAUUAUAUUAUAUGAUAACUGAGUACAUAAAACACAUUACAAGCACUUUAGAUUACAAUAUAGUACUCACGCUGUGUAAAGCACAACUCAAAACCUAACCUGUUAGAUGCUUUGCAGUAUAGAUGACCGUAUAGGCAAACACUCGGCAAAUGGCCUGCGAACAAAUGCCCAACGAACGACGGCCAACAUUCCAGUAGGUGGAAUUGAGGAACUUCUUCUUUCUGGUGUCGUCCUUCUUCUUCUUUCUGCCACCGAAGAGUGAGGAUGACUAAUCUGAAAAUUAUUCUUCCUAGUCCUUCAUUGUGGCUAGAUCUAACCACAAUAAAAUGGAGAAGAGACUGGAGAAAAUUAUUCCAUGGCGGCGAUAUCAUCUCCGCCUUGACGCCGCCAUCCGGAAACAAAAGUCUCCAUGUCGUCAUGUCGAUGAAGAUGCUGAAGGCGAAGUUAUCGUCCUUAUCUUCAACGGAGCCGCCAUGGAGAAGCCGAUUCCACCUCUCUCCUUCACCGUUGCCGAUUCGGCCUAGACUGGAGGGAGUACUAGAUAACUAUUUCUUUUUUUAGGAAACAGAAAGAGCGGGAGCCCUCAUUGAAAAUUUAUUAAACUAAACAACUAUUUCUCUUUAGCUAACUUUAGUACGAUUUUCUUUUUUAUUUUGCUAAUGCUAGAUAGGGUUUUAAUACCCUAAACUAAGAGAAGAGAGAGGCAAUUGCUAGUUCAUUUGUAAGCAAAACCUCAUGAUCGAUGAUUGCUGGUAGUUGGUUGGGAGAGCCGGCCAACACCGACCUCAAUCCUCACAGUGACAUCAUAUAUUCAUCCAUCUCCAUCAGGCUCCGGGGCCCACCACCAGCUCCAUUUCGGCUCAUCCCGUGGUCAGGGAGGCCAGGGCAGGCUCACUAAUUGAUGACACACUCCUCAAUCCUGAUGGAAUAAAAUUAGGUCACCAUCACACAGAGUUGAUAAGCAAAUUCAAAGAAAAGCUCAGCCACGCUUACAACCCGGUGGAUGACAGUAGUUAGUAGCACCACAAAAUUUUCUAUUCGUUUGUGUACCUCACCUUUACUGGUCAAGCUCUGGAGACCCCAGCUUAUAUAUGAAGCUUUUUUUUUUGUUUCGCUGAGUAUUUCCUCUGGUCAUAAACGUUUUGGAGUUUUUUCAAUUCAACCACGUUGAACUCUUAUAGUAACAUCAGUAUGGAUAUAGAAACCGAUGUUGGUUGGUUUUUGUCUUGAAUCUAAUUCUGUAAACGUAUAUUCUAGGAAAACAUUAUGUAGCAAGAAGUAGAGUAUUAGUGGAAAAAAGCAACUUAGAGUACAAGCUGUGUGGUACAUGUGUUUAAUUUGUCUAUACAUAUCUCUAAUAAUUAGGUACCAUAUCACUGCAAUAAUCUGAUCCGUUGUUCUGUCCAUAAAGCAAUGUACCCCUAGAUAAACUCAAUAUUUCUGUGAUUUAUGUGCCUAGCAGGCUAGCAGCCACUUUUCAGAUUUGUAACCGGAGAAGGAGAUGCCAGUAGACUUUGUAACGUGGGAUCCAUGCUAAGAAUAUUAUAAGAUAUACCUUAACCUUAUAUUAGCUCAACACCUAACUUCCCGAACUUCAUAUUCAUCAAGAACUUAGAUCUAGCUCUGAGAUCCACCAAAUUGGUGGAGCACCUCAAAGGGUGCUAAAAUUCUAUUUUCUCGGAGUUGAGAUCUAUUUUUGUUUCCCUCUCGUUGCCUCAGUUUCUUGUCACACAUGCGCUGUCGGUUCCCGCCAUGCCACUCCGCGGCCACCUGUCGCACCUAGCUCAGCUAGGAAUCACCACGACAUGCAGGCAGGAGAAACAAACAACACCGCAAAAAUAAGUACUGUUAUAAUGUUUGGAUCCCUGCUGCGGUUGCGAGUGCAAACUCAAGAGCUAGAGCUCUACCAAACGGUUUUUAGAGUUGGAGUCUUUCCAAAUAGGCCCCAAAAAUAAGGGUAAUAAUCAAGUAAGAGUAACUUUUGGUACUUUUUAAGAAGGACGCUCUCAGUUUCAGUUCACCCAUCACUUACAUUCCUGUCUUUAUUAUUAAAUUCAAUUGACUGCAACCCAACAGGGUACACUCACGCUGGCGAAGGCACACUUGCACUAGCACACAAACGCACAAACAAUUGCACUAGCUGCCGUUGCCAGUAGCUACAACACGUGACCUGACUGAAAAACCUACUGCUACUGUAUUCUCCACGCCGGUGCUCUCCCUCUCCGUUAAACUUAAACUCCGGGAGGGAGCUCAGUCCCGGCCUGGGCGUUGUCCAAGACGAGGUGAGCCUAGGCGUUGCUCCGGAAGGAGCCGUGCCCCCUGGCGCUGGCGCGGAGGACGAUCUGGUGGUACAGCGCUGCGAUUGCGGCGCCGAUGAACGGACCAACCCAGAAGAUCCACUGCAGCAAGAACAACAAACAAAAAUGUGUGAAUUAGUGCUGCAAUCUUGGACAAUGUGUGUAGGGACUAGGCAGAUCGAGAUAUGUGAUACCUGGUCGCUCCAGGCCUUGCUGUUGUUGUACACGACGGCGGCGCCGAGGCUCCUCGCAGGGUUGAUCCCCGUGCCGGUGAUCGGGAUCGUCGCCAGGUGCACCAUGAACACAGCGAAUCCAAUCGGAAGCGGCGCCAACACCUGGUGACCAUCUCGUUCGUCAGUACAGAAAAGAGGCAAUACAACAGCACAAGUUGUUGCAAUGCGCAGCAUGGCAGCUCGAAGGGCUGGCAGGCGUGCAGCAAUUACCGGGACAUGGGAGUCGCGGGCGUUGCGCUUGGGGUCGGUGGCGGAGAAGACGGUGUAGACGAGCACGAAGGUGCCGAUGAUCUCGGCGGCGAGCCCCGUGCCGGUGGAGUACCCGGGACUGACCUCGUUGGCGCCGCCGCCGUAGCGCGUGUAGAAUCCGCUCUGGAAUCCCUUGACAAGCGCGACGCCGCAGAUGGCGCCGAGGCUCUGCGCGGCCAUGUACAGCAGCGCGCGCACCAGGGACACCUUCCGCGCCAGGAACAGGCCGAAGGUGACGGCCGGGUUGAUGUGGCCACCGGAGAUGCCGGCGGUGCAGUAGACGAGGAUGAAGAUCAUACCGCCGAACGCCCACGCGAUGCCG